rnacentral:lncRNA from 1 species
UUUUUUUUUGUGAAGAUUCUCCAAAAUAGGAAUAAAGAACAAAAAUCAUAGAACUUCCAUUUUCACGUUUUCCUUAUGCAGUCUGUGUUAUUGCUUGUUUUAACCUAUUGUGAGCCUUAUGCAGAAACAAGGGUAUAGAAAAUGUGAUAACUAUUGAUUUGCACGGGCAGCAUGUGAAACCAGCAAUGAGAAUGCUGAAACUCCACCUUCUGUUUGGAUCAUAUGUUCCUUGUAAGCAUUUUCUUAAGGAUCUAGCUUCUCACUCAUUCUUAGGACUUAAAAGGACAUUGCUUAUUGAACUGUGUUUUCAUUUUCUUACUUUACCUGACUGUCUUUUUAUUUCUGCUUUAGCUGUUCAGAUGAUAAGGGUCAUCACAGGAUGUGGAUCACACGGUUUUGGAAAGUCCAAGCUGAAACAAUCGGUACGGUUUAAUCCACCCCUUCUAUACAAAUCUCAAUAACUAUGUCUCUUCGAAGGGAACAAAAUUGUUUUGAAAUGGCUAUUCUUAUGAUUUGCUUGAUACAGGUUACUAAACUUUUAGAUAAAGAGUCAAUUGAAUGGAGUGAAGAGAACCGAGGAACUGUGUUGAUCAAACUCAACGGAUGGAGAGAGUUCAGCUUUCUGGACGCAGACAGUGAUAGCGAUAGCGAUUGAUUAAGCUUAUUGCAUAUAAGCUAAUUGCAGGUUUAUUAUCUGUUUGUACCAGUUUUAGACUAGUAACUUGGGAUUGAUAACUAAAUUAGAGCUGUGACAUUGACAUGUACAUUAGGUGCCUAUUUAGGCCAAGCUCUUUGUUGAAGCAAACAUAGAUCUUGGCACAUUUAGGGUUGUAUCAUAUCAUGUAGAUCAUUUAACUCUAUUUUUUUUAUUUCAAUUAUUUGGCCAAAACUGCAUCCUAGAGUAGGCUAUAUUGACAUAAGAUACUAUCUGUGAUGUACAGAGAUGAAUAUGUAAUUUUUAAUUUUAAUUAUCAGUUUUUUCUUUCUCUCUGAUUUCUUCAUGAAACGGAUUGCGUUGGUAAUUACAUAUACUGACUUGCUUGCUGCAAUGGAGAUUGGCUGACUGAUCCACACGAUGCUUUGUUACAAAGCUAGUUGAUCAUUCGAGUCACUUUAAAGUGUGACUUAAGGGAUAGAGGGAUUCAGUGUUAUCCAACCCACUAAAUCCAUUAGAAAACUUUGCAUGGUUUGUUUUACACAAUGAUGAAACUUGGAAUAUGAUACCAUAUCUAUAUUCAAGUUUCUUGAAAAAAAAAACAUUGGUGAGUCGAAUUUGAAUUCAGGUACUUUUGGGACAAAUAAUGGAACCAAUGCAUUCUACAAGGGGAUGCUCUUUCCAAUAUUUGGUGGUGCUUUUCACACCCUUGAAAAUGGAUGCGUCUCUAUGAGAUUCACCCAAUUUUGCAAAAACAUAGUUUGGAGAUGCAUAUUCGUUGCAUAUUUGGGUGUAUAUGAAAAUGCACAUCCGAAAUAACUUCUGCACUCAAUUAUUGUGUUUUAAUUCCUUGAGUUAGUUAAAUGAACGACUCAAUGAUAUUUUCGGAAAUGCAUAUCCAGAAAUGACCAGCAGAAAAUUGGAUAACAUCACAUUUCAAAAUCGUUAAUAAAGUUUCUUUCAAUCUCAAUCAUCUUUUUAACAUUAUGUAUUUCAUCACAUCAAAGGGAGUAUAACAAAUCAAAAUUGGAGGUAAGUUCAUUCAUUUCCUUGCAUUAAUCUUGUUUAUGAGCUGAAAAAUAGACGUUGAAUUUGAAUAUGCAUCUCCGGACAAAGUUAGGUGUGGUCCGGACGGAUGUGCAUCAUCGAAUUGUCCUAAUUGUUCAAGUUUUUACACUGUUUUUGUGUUGUUGGUUGUAGUAGAUAUGGUGCACCCCAAAAUGUUUACUAAAGCUAUUGUGAGUGUGGAUGUUAAACCGAAUGAAGCGAAUGAUGAUGUUAAAUCAUGAACAUAUGUUACAAUGGGUUCGUAGGGAGGCCGAAAGUUGAGGUAUGGCGUUGUAAUCGGAAGGUUCGACAAUCGUUCGGACAAACGACAUGCAUUUGUAACGAUGAUAUGCGAAAGAAGUGGCAAGUACCAACCAAAGAUUAGGAAGUUGAAACGAGAUGACAAUGGAUCAAGGAAGUGUGAGUAUCUGGUUAAAUUGUGUAGAUAACACAUGGCAAAUGAGACAUGAAAAUUUAAUGUGAUUUUUGGUAUACAUAUUCAUGCUUGAAUGACAAGCUAGUUGAUUAUCUUGUUCCGGAGGAAGAACUUAUUUAGGACAUGAUAUUAAACAUGGUGGCGCCGAAAAACAUACUCGCAUCUUUGAAACAGAAAAACCUCGAAAUGUUUCAAAUAUCAAGCAAAUAUACAAUGUGCGCGUCCGAGACAAUAAAUUCGUUAGAAGACUGUUGUUCCUUUUAAUUGGUUGCAUUAGGUAAAACAACAUUGGGUAGAACAAAAUGUAUUUUUCGUGAAGAUGCAAUAUGUUGAACAACAUGCUCCAGCAUGUGUGCAACAUCUGACCUCAGUCUACAGGUAAGGAUUCGUGUGAUCUUUUGAGCGAAAUUAUGUUUGAUUCCUGGAAGAUCUGGUGUUUAUGAUUUGUAUAUUUUAGCAAUAUGUUAUUCAGUAAGAUUUGCUAAAAUAUUUAAUAAGAUCAAAGUCAAUUAAAUGAAGAUUUAAAUUGAAUCAAGAUCAAAUCAAAUCAUAUCUUUUUGUGGAUAUUUUUAAAGCAAAUCAAAUCUUGCUGUUAUCAAAUCUAAUGUGUAUGACCUUAAACUUCAAACACUUAAUUUAUAAAAUAUGCGUAAUAAAAUACUGAAAAAGGGUGUCACAUUUCUCGGCAUAACAUUUUCAAAUCACAAUAGCAAUGGAAAAUAAACUUCAACAUAACUCUAAUUGUCUCAUAAUAGAAAUCAACUUCAUUUAAUCAUAAAAUAGUUAAUUCAACAACUCGCAGAAAAAUAGAAUAAAUUAUUCCCAAUCCAGUGUUACACUAUCAAAGCGACACAUACAAAACUAUAAAACGCAAAAAGAUAAACAACGAAGAAGGCCAACUAUGCCAUCCUCCAAUACAAUCAACAACUAUAACUCCCCAGUCCCUACCUGAGUAUCUGCACCACAAGCGUAAAGAAUAACAUAUAAACAAACAGGGGUGAAAAUACAUUAACAUAUAUAAUAGUGCAUAAAAUAGCAAGAAUAAUACAAUUAGCAUAAAUAAUCAAUCAUACAAUUCAUCCAUAACAAUAAUCAUUCACAAAUGCAAUUAUGUAUGUAAUAUAUUCAUCUUCUCUACUCCAAUGUAUCUGGUAUCAAAAUUUGAAUAUUUAGAGGUGUAUUACUGAAGAAUCCAACUAGUCACUGGACCGAAGUCCUAACUCAUCACUAGACCGAAUUCCUACUCGUCACUAGACCGAAGUCCUAACUCGUUACGUGACAUAAUCCCCACCUAUCUCAAAUACUCAUCAUUGGUUUCUCUCUAACCUAAAAGUCAACAUAAAUCAUCGUCAAUGCAAGGCCACAUCAAUGAUUCCAAUGAACUGAAACAUCUCAGCAUAAACUCAACCUUUUUCCUCUUCACGAGGCAUUCAUCAUAAACUUAACACAAUAAUUAAAAAUAUAUGGUUUCUCAUAUAUAAUCAUCAAACAACAUCAAAGAACCAUCGAAAACAGAAACCACUCGAAAAAUCGAGUCAAACGUCCCAUAAUCGAUCAAAACAGGGGAUGACGAUUUGCCCUUCAGGAAUGACGGUCGUCACACCCACCGUUCAUCGUCCCCCCUCAAUCUCCCAUCAUCACGUUGAUGCAUGGGAAAGGGAGCUAGUCUCUGAGGCUCUAACGGUCUGUCACCUCGCUAACGCCAGUUAGCGCGUCCCCAAGGGGUGUCUUCUCCAGCGUAGUGACGAUUGACCCGUCAUGAACGUGACGCCCGCCACCUUUAUGCAGAACUUGAAAAUACCAUUUUCGGCAUGGUUGCGCCUUCAGACCUCCGAUUUCGAUUUCAAAGAACCCCAUACACACAACAAAUCAUCAUACAUAAAUCAUAUAACACACCAAUAACGCACAAAUUAAUCAUCUAUAUCAUUAAUUAGCCACAAAAUUACCAUUAUGUUCAUCAAUUCAAAGCAUAUACACAUGAAUAUUCAAACUUAGAGUUACGCAUACCAAUUCUUACGAAAAUCAACAAUCAACAGAGCACGAAAACAACAACGUAUUACAACAAUCUAGAGAGGUUUUGCACAAACCAUCUUAAGAUUAAACUUCAUAAAUAGAGGAAAAAUAAAAGGAAAAUGGAAAGAGGAUAAGGUAUCCUCUCUAUCCUUCAUGCUUAUACACCCAUAUCAUGAACAAUUCCCUCAUUACUUCUAAUUCACGGAAAAGUUUUAAAUCUACGACUAUGGAGUCUCUUCUCCUACUCUUGCUCUGCUAGGGAUUUUCUCUUACUCUGGUGACAACUUAUUUUCACCAAAUAACUCCCUCAUUCUAUUUUCCUUCUCCAUUUAAAUAAAAACCCUAUUUUAAUUUUUAUUAAUUCUAAUAAUCCCCUCAACUCUUAAUAAUUCUAUUCACCGCCUUAAUUUUAAUUAGUUUCUAUUUUCAUUCCCAAAUCACAAUUUCUCAUUUUCUCUAUUAUUUUAAAUAAAUAAAAAUUAUAAUAAUUUCUACUAAAAAUCCAAACAUCAUUAAUAAUAGUAAUAAAAUAAUAAAAAAUCAGGGUGUUACAACUCUCUUUCACUUAAAGAAUUUCCGUCCUCGAAAAUUACCUGAAGGAAACAAAUCUGGAUAAGACUCCCUCAUCCGCCUCUCUAGCUCCCACAUUACACUUCCUCCAGCAGGUCCUCCCCACACUACCUUAACCAAAGCGAUCUCUUUACCUCUCAAGUGUGUUACUUUUCGAUCCUUAAUCCGCAAGGGUGAUGCCUCCACGACCAAGUUAUCUCUCACUUGCACACCAUUCAAUUGGAUCACAUGGGACAAAUAAGGAAUAUACUUAGUUGAGACACAUGAAAUACACUAUGAAAGUUUUAAAGAGAUGUUAGUAAGCAAACUCGAUAGGCAACUUCGCUGACCCUCUUAAGGAUUUGAUGAGGACUAAUAAAAUGAGGUGUAAGCUUUUGAGACUUCAAUGCUCGACCAACACCAGUCACCAGAGUGACUCUCAGGAACACAUGAUCUCCUUUUUGAAAUUCAAGAGCUUUUCUUCGCUUAUCAUGAUAACUCUUAUGUCUGCUCUCCGAUGCCUUCAUGUUUUCCAGAAUCAUCUUAAUCUUCUCGGUAAUUAUUUGAACAAUCUCUGGUUCAAGCAUAACACCUUCACCUGAUUCAUACCAACACAAGGGUGUUCUACACCUUUUACCAUAUAGAGCUUUAAAAGGGGCCGUUCCUAUAUUAGAAUAGUAUCCGUUGUUAUAAGUAAACUCGAUCAAUGGAAAAUAAUUGUCUCAAUUACCUUCAUGCUCCAAAAUACAAGCUCUUAACAAAUCUUCAAAAGAUUGGAUAGUCCUUUCUAUCUGACCGUCCGUCUAUGGAUGGUAAGCAAAACUCAACCUCAACUUGGUUUCCAAGGUUGCUUGCAAGCUCUCCCAAAAUCUUGACGAGAACCUCAGAUCUCUAUUUGAAACAACGCUCGAAGGAAUCCCAUGCAACUUCACAAUCUCACUAAUGUAGAUCUCUACUAGCUUCUACAAUGGAAAUUGAUUUUCAUCGGAACAAAAUGAGUUGACUUAGUUAGUUUAUCUACAACAACCCAAAUAGAAUCACUUCCUUUUGCGGUUAUUGUCAAACUCACUACAAAAUCCAAGGAGAUACCAUCCCACUUCCACUCAGGAACACUCAAAGAUUGCAUUAAUCUAGAUGAUUUUUGAUGCUCGAUCUUCAACUUAUGACAAAUCAAAUAAUAAUACAUAAACUCUGCAACAUCCUUCUUCAUACCUGACCAAUAAAACAUUUUCUUAAGAUCCUGAUACAUCUAUGUGGCUUCAGGAUGAAUACUCAAACUACUCUUGUGACUUUCUUCCAAAAUCUUCUUUUUAAGCUCCAGUACGUCUGACACACAAACUCUAUCCCGAAACUUCAUAAUUCCCAUAUCAUCUACCUUGAAGUUGACUUAUUUACCUUGAUUAAUCAAAACCACCGAUUACUCAAUCCCAAAUCUAACUUGUGACCUUCCUUGAUUUCCUAUAGAACGUUAUUAGCCAACUUCAGCAUAUCCAACUUCACACUUUGUGGCGUCAUCUCGCACACCAAAUUAAGAUCUUUGAACUGCUCAAUCAAACCUAUUUCUCUAACCAUUAACGCUGAGAUAUGCAAGGACUUCCUACUUAACACAUCUGCUACCACAUUAGCUUUACCAGGAUGGUAACUUAACUUAAAGUCGUAGUCCUUCAAAAAUUCUAGCCACCUUCUCUGCCUCAUAUUCAGUUUUUUCUGAUCAAACAAAUACUUCAAACUCUUAUGAUCAUUGAAAACUUCAAACCUCAGACCAUACAUAUAAUUUCUCCAAACUUUAAGCACGAAGACUAUUGCUGCCAACUCCAAAUCAUGGGUAGUAUCAUACUCUAACUUUGUUAAGACAUUUGAUUUAUUUCAUCUGGUCAAUUUGCAUUUUUGUCACAUUUGUUAUAUUUUGCAUUUUUGUUCAUAUUUUGAUUUAUUAAUUUUAAUUAUUUUAAUUAUUUUAGUUUAAAAUAUCAUAUAUUAUUUCUACAUUUUGAUCAUAUGCAUUUUAUUACAAAAUAAACGAUUAUUUCUUUUCCAUGUACAUGUGCAUUCAUUUGACUUUUCCAUCAAGUUUCUAACUUGCAUAUAAGACAAAACAAAAAGAGUGAAUUCUAAUUUGUUCAUCAUCAUAGUAAUAAAUGAAGGAGAAGAGCGAUCCAAAAUGCAUCGGAAUUUAAAAUUUCUCCUUUAGUGAUCCUUACGAAUGAGCAUGAUCAGUGAUAGAAUCGUUACCUCUUGUGGCGAUUGUAAUCUUUGAUGCAGAUCUACAGAGCGAUCACGAACGUUGAAUGAUGACAACGCCUCUACUCAGUCCACACGAACGAAUUUCUUCAAUCUUAGUGCUAGCUGCUACGAAUGAAGGCUUUGAGUGAGAGAGAGAAACAAAAUUGCAACUGCACAAAUGCUUCUACACAAGGGUUCUAUUUAUAGAACCACUUGUGUGGAAUGCAAGCUAAAAAGCCCACUCAAGUGUAUGUGGCCCAUAUCUUAUAAUAUGCCAAAAUCACUUAAGCGCACGAUACCUUACCAUAUUUUGUAUUCUACUUAAGUACACCGUACCUUAUGAUGUUCUACAAUUCACUUAAGUGCACCGUACAUUACGGUAUUCCUUAGUUACUCUAUCUCUCAUCAAUCCGUCCUUUUGUGUGUGACCCUAUAGGUUUUCGCGACAUUGACAAUUAUAUUAAAUCACGUAUUUAACAUAAUAAACAGUGAGCGGUAUCUAGCAACACAUCACUGCUACCCAAGACAUGAAAAUGUCAUGUGAUCUGACAAAUCCUUUUGCGAUAAUACUUAUGUGUACAAUUACCCUUUUGCCCUUAUGUCUAUAUUGAACACAAGGCAUAGACCGUGUCAUCCUUGUCCAGUUUAAUAUUGGGUCCAUAGACAUUUAUCCUGUUACGCAGGAUGGGAAAAUUCCAUCUAGGUCACUCAUGUCCCUUAGCAUACUUCGGGGAGUACCCAUCAACUGUCUUUAUGGUCAUCCAGUUACGGACAAUGUUUGAUCAGCAAUAAGGCACUUGACUCUACAUCUAGGGUCCAUAGUGGUUUCAGGUCGAAGGGUGGUAUACACCAUGAGAAUUAAUUUAUGUACACUUUCCCCAUAACAUUCUAUAUAGUAUUCUCAUGCGUGGGUAAUCCAGAUAAAAUAUUACUCUUAAUAUUCAUACCUAUGUUUAAGACUUGAUAACUCCUUAUCCAUGAUCCAUGAGAUGUGAUCAUCAGUCUAUAUACAUAAUAGUCUUAAUGUUUUAAUGUUAUCCCACUUCGCAAUAAAUCUCGACUAUGGAUACUUUAAGAAUAAUGUCCUUAUGUUUAAUGUGAUCUAAUGAUUAAGUAACACUUGAUACAUUAAACGGACUAUCUAUUCUAGGGACUUUAUUAGACAAACAUAAUAAAGAAAAAGCCUUUUAUUAUUGAUAAAUAAUUCGAUACAAGUACCAAAAGUAUUGGCCUCUAGGGCUUACACCAACAAAGUCGACAAAAGUCGACAAAAGUCAAAGAUUUUGGUACAAAAGGACAAAUUUGGAUCACACUUAUUUUGCCAAACUAACUAUGCAUGAUCAUACAUCCAUACAUCACCCAUUUUCCCACUAAUCUCACAUGGUUUGCAACCGAAAUCAGAGAUUGAAAUUCAAACUUUUCAUCUCAAAUCCAAAUUCAAGUGAAAUUUCAUCAAAUGACAUUCGAAUUUCACUCACACUUCUUACAUUUUCAAAUAAUCCCUAUACUAACCUUUAACCUAAUUUCUAGCCUAUAAAUCAAGUCAUUCUUAUAAGAAAAUAAUGACAACAAUCGCUACUAGCCUAGCCAAAACCCUGCAUCAAAUUCAUUUCCCAAAUUCAAGUUUCUUCACUUGAAGAAACUUUGAAAAUUUUCACAAAAAACCUUCUACCUUGAUCCAUUUUCCAUUCCAGUUCUUUGAUCUUUACUCAACAUCAUUACAUAUCCCAAACACAUGCCAUAAACACCUCAAACACUAAGAUUCAAUCAUUUCAGUUUGAACUCGAAUUUUAAAAACUUGUUCAAAUCAAGUCAAUUGGAUCAUAAAAUAAUAGAGGAUAUCAAGAGGAGUUGGAAUCUAAAAAUAAAAGUUGGAAACACACCUUGCUGAAACCAGAUCGGAGACUUGUCGGAAUCUGUAUUUGCUGGCUAAAAUCUUCAACGUGUUCUUGAGGUUUUCUCAUUCAGGCAAGCCUUAAUCUUUAUCGCUUUGGUUAUUUCUCUACACUAUUGGAUUUCUACACAUCAUACACAUCAUAUCCCUAAAUUAAUUUCAUGAAAUCAUGCUGAAUUGAGCAUUUAUGGGAUCUAGGGUGCUUGAACUCAUGAAUGUUCAUGAACAUUCAUGAACUCAAACCAAAUUUCACGAUUCCAACCUAUUUUAAAUGGAAAACAACCCAAAAUGAAUCAUAAUAUAGUUCUAAGCACGAUUCUAUAACAUUUGUACCUGAAUCUCUGAAACAAGACCAAAUCAAAUUCAUUGGUAUUUUGCUUGAAACCUUCUGAUUCUGCCAAAAUUGUUGAUGAUUCGUGUUGAUUGUUUAUUAAUUCAUACACGUUUGAUUGUUUAGUUCAUGUUAGCCUCAUGCAGUCUGAUUUCAUGUUUGUUUUUGGAUUUUGCAUUUGAUUUUUUGGAGCUUCAUAGCUCUCGUUUGAAUGUGAGAGAGAGGAGAUAAGAUUGCCAGAUUAAACCUCAACCGUUGAUCUUAUUUGUUCUGGUCUCAUUUUGAUUCUGAUCUAAUGACCACAUGGUUUAAUCAGAAUAACCGAAUCUAGGCCUUAGGGCGUCCUUGUAAGGGAGCCCCACCACGAUCAUGAAAUAUUGGCCAUUUGAUCUUAAUCUAAACGCCUAGGUGGGAACUCUUUGAUUGCUUGAUGAGAUCAAAUAAGUGCCAUCUGAUGUUUAUUAGAUGGCCUCGCGUGUUCCUGAUCUUCUUUUUUCUUUUUUGUAGCUUUUGGGCCUCCAACAUUGUAAUCAACUUCAAAUCAUUUCCUCAAUAAAAAAUCAGAUUAAAAAAGAACAACCGAGUGCAUAAUCUUUUGAUCCCCGAAUAAUCAGACCCGAGCCGUACACCUCGUUCCAACAAAUAUUUCGUCUUUCGUCAAAAUCAAACUAUUUUCACAAUUAAAACCAAUACCAUUUUCAAAAUUAUUCAAAUUUAUCUAAAAUCUAUCUCAUAGCCAAAAUCGACUAAAAAAGGACAACUGGGUGCACACUCUUUGAUCCCUAAAUAACCGGACCCGUGGCACACGCCUCAUUCAAACCGAGCAUUCAACUUCCGCCAAAAAACACAUAAUUAAAAUUGGAUUAAAAAGGACUAUUGGGUGCACACUCGUUUGAUCCAUGAAUAGUCGAACUUGAGGCAUACACCUCGUUCCAAUUGAUUAUUCGUCUUCCGCAAAUGAUUUUUGUAAAUAAUUGGAUUAAAAAGGACAAUUGGAUGCACACUCUUUUGAUCCCUGAAUAAUUGGACCUGAGGUACACACCUCGUUCGAAUCGAGCAUUCGUCUUCCGCCAAAAACAUUUAAUAAAAAUUGGAUUAAAAAGGACAAUCAGGUGCAAAUUCUUUUGAUCCCUGAAUAAUCGGACUCGAGGCAUACUCCUUGUUCCAACCAAUUAUUCAUCUUCCUUCAAAAUCAAACUAUUUUUCAUAAUUAAAACCAAGACUAUUUUCAAAAUUAUUCAAAUUCAUCUUAAAUUUAUUUCAUAACCAAAAUCGAAUUAAAAAAAGGAUAACUGGGUGCACAUUCUUUUGAUCUCUGAAUAAUCGGACCCGAGGCAUACACCUCAUUCUAACCGAGCAUUCGUCUUCCAUCAAAUUACACAUAAUCAAAAUCAGAUUAAAAAAGGAAAAUUAGAUGCACACCCUUUUUUUCCUCGAGUAGUCAGACCCGAGGCGCACGCUUCGUUCCAACCAAUUACUCGUCUUCCACAAAUGAUUUUUUUAUUAAAAAUAAUUGGAUUAAAAGGGACAAUUUGGUGCAUAAUAUUUUGAUCCUCAAAUAAUCAUACAUGAGGCACACACCUCAUCCCAACUGAGCAUUCGUCUUCCUCAUAAAAAUAAUUUUAACCAAUCAAACUUUUUCCCUCCCUAGCGCGACAAACAAACUUUUUCAUAAAUGAACGGUGUUUUAUCCAUUCUGAUGCGAUAUACAAGCAAACAUUUUAGCCUCCCAUGCGCAAUCAAUAACCAAUGUUUAACCACUCGAAUGCGAUCAAAACAUAAUCCAUUUUGACGUGAUAUACAAACAAAUGCUCCAGCCUCCUAUACGUGAGCAACUAGCAAUGUUUAAUCGCUUGAAUGCGACCUAAACAUCUUUCACGAAAGUCAACUAACACACAACCGCUUGCUACAAAGAACUACAUAGCUUUGAGUUCUGCAUCGCACAUGAGGAUACAUAGGAGCGAUAUCCAACGUCUCAUCAAGAACCAUAAUAAAAAAACUAUUAUUCUCUCCUAGAACUGCAUAACUUUAAUUUCCCUAUCAGACCUGGGGAUAUGUAAGAGCGAGAUUCAACAUCUCGUCAACACCCUAAUAAGAAAAACUUAUUUUAAGUCUUUUUCCUUACAUACUGUCGCAACCUAAAAAAGAUAAAGAGAUGCGAAAAAACAACCGGCGAGAAAAGAAAUGACAGAAGACUCGCCACUGUACGUUAUUUAUCCUAAAGGAGGGAAAGGAAACGCUCAAAGAAAACCUGAAGAAAGGAAAGGAAAAGACAAGGUCUUGCAACCAAAUCUUGGGUUCGGGAGUCGAUUAUGCGAAGGGAAGGUAUUAGCACCCCUACGCAUCCGUAGUACUCUACGGGAUCCACUUUUGUUGUUCUCAUCUAAAGGGUGUGUGUAUAUCUAAGGUACUAUUUACUAAAAGAAAGGUCAAAAGAAAAUGACUCGCACAGAUGUCGCAUCCACUGCAUACGUAUCUCAUCUGAAUAUGAGAAUCAGAGUCUUCGUAGCUCGGCUACCUAUGGGUUAAAGAGAAGUGCGCCCGCUAAGACAUCGUGUCUUAUGCCUACGUAUCUCAUCUGGAAUGAGAAUCAGAGCAAAAUGUAGUUCAGCUAACUACGGGAACAAGGGUCUCGAUUGCAACUAGGGCAAGAGAAAGGGAAGGUCUCGAUCGCAACGAGGGCGAGAGAAANNNNNNNNNNNNNNNNNNNNNNNNNNNNNNNNNNNNNNNNNNNNNNNNNNNNNNNNNNNNNNNNNNNNNNNNNNNNNNNNNNNNNNNNNNNNNNNNNNNNNNNNNNNNNNNNNNNNNNNNNNNNNNNNNNNNNNNNNNNNNNNNNNNNNNNNNNNNNNNNNNNNNNNNNNNNNNNNNNNNNNNNNNNNNNNNNNNNNNNNNNNNNNNNNNNNNNNNNNNNNNNNNNNNNNNNNNNNNNNNNNNNNNNNNNNNNNNNNNNNNNNNNNNNNNNNNNNNNNNNNNNNNNNNNNNNNNNNNNNNNNNNNNNNNNNNNNNNNNNNNNNNNNNNNNNNNNNNNNNNNNNNNNNNNNNNNNNNNNNNNNNNNNNNNNNNNNNNNNNNNNNNNNNNNNNNNNNNNNNNNNNNNNNNNNNNNNNNNNNNNNNNNNNNNNNNNNNNNNNNNNNNNNNNNNNNNNNNNNNNNNNNNNNNNNNNNNNNNNNNNNNNNNNNNNNNNNNNNNNNNNNNNNNNNNNNNNNNNNNNNNNNNNNNNNNNNNNNNNNNNNNNNNNNNNNNNNNNNNNNNNNNNNNNNNNNNNNNNNNNNNNNNNNNNNNNNNNNNNNNNNNNNNNNNNNNNNNNNNNNNNNNNNNNNNNNNNNNNNNNNNNNNNNNNNNNNNNNNNNNNNNNNNNNNNNNNNNNNNNNNNNNNNNNNNNNNNNNNNNNNNNNNNNNNNNNNNNNNNNNNNNNNNNNNNNNNNNNNNNNNNNNNNNNNNNNNNNNNNNNNNNNNNNNNNNNNNNNNNNNNNNNNNNNNNNNNNNNNNNNNNNNNNNNNNNNNNNNNNNNNNNNNNNNNNNNNNNNNNNNNNNNNNNNNNNNNNNNNNNNNNNNNNNNNNNNNNNNNNNNNNNNNNNNNNNNNNNNNNNNNNNNNNNNNNNNNNNNNNNNNNNNNNNNNNNNNNNNNNNNNNNNNNNNNNNNNNNNNNNNNNNNNNNNNNNNNNNNNNNNNNNNNNNNNNNNNNNAAAAAGAUUAGGAUCAAAACCUCGUAGUUCGGGGUAAAAAUCUCAAAAUGAGUUGGUGAAUUGAUUGGUCCAAAAGCCUUAAGGUCUUUUGUUAUCAAAGGGAGAAAACUCAACCAAACCACAAAUCCACCAUGUGAGGAUAACUUCAACAUGCUAGUGAGGGGUUAACCCUAUAAUAAGCAUGGAAGACUCAUUGUCCAUCACUAAGGAUAUAGGUGAGUAUUACAUCUACCACCAAGAUAACUCAAACCUAAUAACUAAAGGUUAUGAAAAAUUUGAUUAAGGAAGUGGCCAUUGGAACCACAAAAAUACAUUUGAAUGGGUUAUAUUUACCAAUUAGAAGUAUAUACGAAAUGGUCAAAGUUAACUUAGAAGUUUAAUUCAAAAUAAGUGUUAUGAAAAGAAAGUUUGAAAAUCAAAAGCAUUAGGCUUAGGUUUCUAAUGUUUGAAAACAAUGGUUAAAUGUUUGCACAAAAGGUUUUGGCUUGGGUUAGAGUGGAGAGAAGAAGAAGAAGGGCUAAGUCCUAAGGAAAAUAAAAGGGAAAGGGAAAGAAAUGAAACCACACUAGGAGUCCCUCUCUUGAGAUUAUAUUGAUGAUCCAAGUAGCUCCCAUCCUUUGGAAUAAAGCAACCACAAAGCAUAAGAAAUCAAAUAAGUCUCUAAAGAGAUCCUCAAUGCAUCUUGUUUCUUCCAUUUUGGAUGAACAUGGCAAUGGUCCUCCAAUUAAGCUCAAAUGGAAACUCCUAACACAAAAGCACACACAUCAAAAGCUCCAUGAAGUAAAAUAAGAAUGGACAAGAGAGAGUUUAGAGAGUUGGUCCUUCUAAUUCCAUUAUCAUUAAGAUCCUUUUACUCCAAUUUUGCAUAAGGAAUGUCCUAGAAUCUAAGUCUAAUUCUCCAUUUCUUUGCAUAGGGAAAGUCCUAGAAACUAAGUCCAUUUCUUUACAUUUGGUCCACAACAAUCAAAACAAAACACAAGCACAAUAAUAUAUAUACAAUUACGUGCUCAAAUGAGCAAAAGGCAAAUGGCAUUAACAUAAACAUUUGCUCAAGUGAGCAAAGGGAAAAAACAAAUGAAUAAUAUGUGCAAGAAUAGUAAAUUGCAUAAAAGUAAAGUGCAUAAAGUAAAUGUUAAUUGUCAAUAGUUAGUGUUAGUAGUUAGUGUGCCAUAAGGCAAAUUUAGCGCUAUGUUAAGCAAUCGUAAUUGGACUUAUGUAGAAGUCAAACUAUCUGGGUCGGUCAAUAAUAUGUAGGCAACAAACCAAGUUAGGAGUCUUGCAUUAGUGAAUCAAGUCCAACAACGGCCAUCCAAAAGAGAGAAGCAGAAAUGAUCUUUAUUGGUUUAAGCCUUAUGCAUGAUUUAAAAGACAACCUAUCCUUAAUGCAAAGCCAUUCACUUUGAUCAUUGAUCAAGGGAUGAAUUAGAUUUGAAUCAAGGAGGUUAAUCCCUCUAAUCAAUGCUAACUUAUCGACUUCAAUUAUUGAUCAAAAAGCAAAAAGAGAAGAAAAGAAAGAGAUGAUAAGAGCAAAUGGAAAUGACAAAAUAAAAUGCAUUAAAUGGAUAAAAAUGUAUCAAUCCUCAUAUGUUGACCAAUACAUGAAAGUCAAGGUAAACAAUCAAAAACAAAGUAGAUGAAGAUCUGGAAGUCAAGAAAAGAAUAAAUAUUUUUGGCAUUUUUUUAAUCUUAAAAUAAACCUUGGAAUUAAAUAAAUGGAAGGUCAAACUUCAAAAUCACUUCAAAAUAACCUUGAAAGCAUCCAAGUGAUUAUCUAAGUUCAACAGGCAACAAAGUUUGGACAAAAAUUCAGCAUUUUUAAAAAGUCAGAAACUAUUUUUAAUGAAUUAAAAAGUGAAUUAAAAAUGAACUAAUUGAACUAAAAUCUGCAAAUAAAUUCUCAAAUGAAUUCAAAAUUGAUGAGAUAUUUUCAUAGCAUCCAUCAUCAAUUUCAAAUAGCGUAGGAAUUUUUAUUUUGUUUGAAUAUCAAAAAGCUAUUAAAAUGAAUCAAAAUAACCAGAAAAGAGAAAAAUUUCACAAAAAUAUCAAAUGACAAAAUAAAAAGUAUUAAAAUCAGAAUAGAAACAGAAAUAUUUGCGGAAUAACACUGUCCCAUAUUUUUUGGUUAAAAUGAGCAGAGAUAUGAUUUUUUGAAAUAAAAGAAAUAAACAAAUAAAAACAGAAAUUGAAAAAUGGCAAAAAAACGAGAGCCCUCUUGGAUCUAGCUCAUUAAUUGAGCUGGCAGAUCCAAGGAUCAGAGCGCGCGUUACGUAACACCAAGCAUGCCACAUCAUGGCAAGAAAUAAAGGUCAUAAAAGCAAAUGCUUAUGAUGAUCUGGAGAUCCAAUCCACGCGUUCCAGAUUUCAAACUGACCUGAUGAGCCACCUGAGCCUUCAUCUUCUUUCGGCGAGCUUCCCCAGAUUCGGCCCAAGUGCAGAAAUAAAAAGGCAACCAAAACGUGCGAUCUAUAUAUCAAUCGAUAAAGGAAGUGUGUACAUCACCCUAUGCCUGCACUUCACUCUAGAUCUCUAUAAUGGAGAAAUCAGAGCUGGAAGUAUGAUGGUGUUCAUCAUGAACUUCAUGUUUUUGCAAAAUUGAAAACACAAAUCAAAUGCCUCUAUUGAGAGGACUUCAGCCAACAUUAGAUCCAAGCAAAAAGGUCCAUGGAUGAAGAGAAUCGAGGAAAUUACCAGUUAGAGUGCAAGCUUGAGUUCUGGUGAAUUGAGCACGAUACCUUGCUUGCUUUAUCAAAACAGAAGUUCAAUGGAUCAAGGUGAAGAGGUCUAAGAACUUUUAGAUCUAAGAAAAUAGUCGAGGAAACUGAAUUCUAGAUCUGAAAUUUUUAGAGAAAAGAGAGAGUUCCUUUGGUGUGAGGGUGUGGAUUCAAUUCAACAAAGUUUCAGGCGCCUUCAGGUUGAAGAAUUGAGAGGGCAAGGCAAUGUAUUUAUAGGCAAGGCAAUGCUGAAUGCAUGAUUUCAAAUUUGCAUGAAUGGAAAGGGCCUCCAUGCAUGGGCCUGUACAGGCGCAUGGAGGGCCCAAUUCCACUUUGAAUGCAUGAUUUCAAAUUUGCAUGAAUGGAAAGGGCCUCCAUGCAUGGGCCUGUACAGGCGCAUGGAGGGCCCAAUUCCACUUGGUUUUGGCAGCUGAUCAUCAUCAUGUAAGUUUUGGACGUGCAAAUGAGGUAUAUUUGGAUCAUGCAUGGCAAUUGAAGUGAUUUUCACAAAAUGCACUAUUACAUUGAAGCCUUCGAAAAUGCCAUGUCCAAAAUCAAAAUGCAAGCUUAUGAGUAAUGGUUGGAAAUCUUAUUGCAUAAGGAACAAAUGUCAUGUUGAUAAAGAUUUCAUUUGGGCCUUGGAAAUUAGUGGAAUUUGAGCUUGAAGGGUGAUGUGCAAAACAUGUCAAGGCAAAGUUUCUAAAAUUGGCCAACUUUCAAGCCCUUCUGUUUUGAUGAUGCAAGUUCCAAAUGAAAAAACCUCCAACAUCAAAGUUGUAUAUCUUCUCAAGAAAUAAAAAUGGACUUAAAUUUUGCAUCAUUUGGAUUUUUGAUGAAAGAGUUAUGGGCACUUGAAGUUGGACUUUUUUUACUUUUAAUGCCUUUGGUCAAAAAGGACCUAUAAUGUAUUGCAUUAUCACAUGUAUUUUUGCAUCAUUUGGAUUUUUGAUGAAAGAGUUAUGGGCACUUGAAGUUGGACUUUUUUUACUUUUAAUGCCUUUGGUCAAAAAGGACCUAUAAUGUAUUGCAUUAUCACAUGUAUUUUCUUUGAGAUUUUGAAAUUUUGUCCAACAUAACAUUUGAAGUAGACAUCUUAAUAUUUCCAAUGCAUUUGAUCUCUCCUAAAAAUCAUAAAAAAUGAGUGAGUUAUGUCCUUGGGAAGUUGACCUAAAAUUAGGGUUUCAGUCAAAAUGACCUAUAAUGUAUUGGAAUGGAAGAUGGUUUUCCAAGAUUCAAAUAAAAUUUUGAUGAACAUGAAAGUUGUUCAUAUUGUCCUUAAGAACAUUUUUGCUUUUGGAACCAUCUCCAUUUGACCAACACACCAAAAGUUAGGUCUCAGUGCAUUUCACAAUAGUCAGAUGAAUUGACUGAUCAACUUUUCAAGUCCACAACCCAUACCUUGAUGAAUUGAUGAUUGAGGAUACUCAAAUGAGUUCAAAUAUGCAUGAAAUGAUGAGUUAAAUGACUUCCCUUGAUUGUAUUUGACCAUGGGCUGAGGUUGCUUCAUGAGCAAGGCAUUGUGAUGCACAAAUGAAUUAGGGCUUCUCUGGGGAACAAACCUCAAAUCCUUUGACUUGCCUUGAUCAAACAUGAUGAAUUGAAACACUAGGGGGGCAUAUUUGAUGGAUGAGAGCUUUCGGAACCAUUACCAUGCUUGCUUCCACCUCCUCUUGACCAAUGACUUCCUUGAAGCUUUUGAUCUUGUGAUUGCUCAAGCUACAACCAAAAGAUGUUAGUGACAUAUUUUUGUGCUUUUGAUUAGUGAAUAAAAUGAGAAAAGCAAGGAUAUACAAUUCAAACAUGCUUGUUGAUCUCAAACCACUCGCAAAGAGUCCCACCCAAAGGCAGGGGGAACCAAGAUGCUCAAUGAUCCUUGAGGCUAUGCAAUUGCAAUAUUAUGAUGCCAUGAGGGAUCUUAGGGACAAAAUUGGGGUCUUACAGGGCGAAAGCAGACAAGGAUUAGUUGGUAGUCGUCAGUCAAAAAACUCGGCAAGACGUCGCAUCUCGUGCCUAUGUAUCUCAUCUGAACAUGAGAAUCGGAGUUGUCGUAGUUCGACUAACUAGGGGUUAAAGAUUGCAAUAUGAACAUGGACUUAUAAAGGAGGACACCAGUUGUGUCAAAGGAGAGUGGGAAAUGUGUUCACGUCCUAGCAAUAGGUGUCGCAGCUCACUGAAUCGAGUCUUAGGCAGUUACCUCUUUGCAAUAGAACGGAGUGACAUGCCACAGGAUUGGAGACGCACGGAAGGUCUAGAAGUGGGGAAGCUCUGCCCUAGAGUUGUCAUGCAAUGUGGAUCUAUGUGUUAGGAUUUACAAAUGGGAACAUCUACCUAAUGUUAGCAUGCACAGAAUAAGGGAAUUCUACCUAUGUUAUCAUACAAAGAAGAAAGGAAUUCUACCUAUGUUAUCAUACAAAAGAAUAUGGGAAUUCUACCUAUGUUAUCAUACAAAGGGUUCUACUUAAUGGGUGCUACCUAAACGGAACAAGAGUCAACAGAUGGAGCAAGGAGAGGAACCACGGAUAAGGGUAGAUGGCGAUGCACGAAGCAAUCGACUUACAGGUAGAUGGCGAUGCCUGAAGUAAUUGACUUACAAGAGAAAUGGCGAUGCAUGAAGCAAUCGACUUACAAAGGAUGGAUGAAUACAUGCUGGUUAUGUUAAGUUUUGAAAAUGAUUACUCGACGUUGGAUCGAGGUUUUGAUCUUGUUUUGAAAUGGUUAUCGGAUGUUCGUUUUAAUUCUUGUAUUAACAGAUGAAUAAAGAAUGAAAGAAUAAACAUUAUACACUUUAUGGGAGAGGGGUACAUUUGUUAUGAAUGGGGAUUGUUCAUGGCAAUCAAACAACAAAAAUAUAUGCCUCAUACAUCACACAAGUAGGCCACAGUUAUCAAACAAUCAGAUAAGCAAUCAAGUAUAUGAUCAAAUCAAAGAAUUAAGGAAUGAAAUAAUGAAGCAUUAGGAAAUGCAUGAUAAGUAUAGACAUGUUAAGCAAUCAAACAAUAGAAGCAUGGAUGAAAGAAACAAGUAUAAAAAAUAUCAGAUGAAUCAGACAAAUGAAACUAUGCACACAAAGGAUCACUGAAUAAUUUAAUCGGGAAAUGAUGCAAAGAUCGAAUAAAAUCAAGAUGAAAGGCCUAUAGUACAUGGCAUAUGAGAUGAACAAUGGAGGAUCAGAAGAUCUCUUCAAUUGCUCUAAGCAAUCCCUAAGUCAAACAUCGAUCAUAGAAAAGUCAACUGACAAGUCAAGUCAACUUAAAAAAAUAUGGAAUAAAUAGUAAAUUAAUCAAGAAAAUUAUGAAAAACUAAAUUAAGUAAGGUGGGGUCAGGACAUCAUCAUCCCCCAUAAAUAUUUUAAAAAUUAUGAGUAUUGGUAUGUAAAUUAAUUGAAAUAAAACAGAAGUCAAAUGAAAAGUCAACCAAGCAAACUAGGUCAAAAAUAAAUCCAAAAUAAAUUGAAAAUGGGAAAUAAAAUUCCAAGAAAAGGUCAGGUUGACCAUGAGAUAAUUGAAAUAAAACAGAAGUCAAAUGAAAAGUCAACCAAGCAAACUAGGUCAAAAAUAAAUCCAAAAUAAAUUGAAAAUGGGAAAUAAAAUUCCAAGAAAAGGUCAGGUUGACCAUGAGACAUUGGUUAACCCUCAUCCCAAAAAUCAGAACCUAAAAAUAAUUCUAAGUCAUGAAAAUAAAAUUAAUAAAAAAUGUGCUAAUAUGAACCACUUGAAAUAAAUAAUUAAAAUGAAAUAUUAACAUUAAAUAAAUAUGAAAAUAAAAAUUAAGUAAAAUUAAAUAAAACAUUAAGAAUUGUGGAAAAUAUUUUUUGGCAUUUUUAUGAAUAAAUAAAAUAUUUUUAUUAAUUAAAAAACAAAACAGAAAAUAAAAAUAAUAAUUAAGAAAAGAAAAUAAAAUGAGUGGAUUAAUGGGCCAGGCGGGUGGUGUGUGAAGAGCAAGCGCGCAUGAAGCCCAGCCCACAAUGAAUAUUCAGGCGUGACAUAAAAUUAAAAUGUACAUUUUAAUAAACCAUGUCACACGCCAUCAACCGGUCACGCUGGAUUUAAGUCAUAAGAAGACAAAACAGGAACGGACGGUCGAGAUUAAAAGACAAACGCACGAUCUAAAGGCCUACAGCGUGACACGUCUUGUCUUCUUCAUGCAACAUAAAAACCCUAGGGCCAUGCACUAAUGUACUUGUGAAAAUCAGUAUGCUUCGCUCAUUUUCAACAACAAAGUGCUCAUGCUACAGUUCACCAAAUGGGAUGAAGUAAAAAGCAAAGUUCAAGUGCGAAAUGAGUAGAACACCAUGGUAUUUUGUUUCAAAUGAAAUGGUAACUUAAACAUGGUGAAAAGUGGACAACAAGGUGGUCACAUGCACACGGCUACAACAGAAAAUAAUGUCACAAAACUCAAACUUAAUAGCAAUGCCUCAUGUUGAGGGCUUUAUAAGCAUGCAUAACAUAUUGUUAACAUGGGAAAAAACAUAAAGCAAGCAUGUAAAUAUGAUGAACAAACAUGGAAUGAACAUGGAAAAUAUAAUGAGCAAGCAUAGCAUGAACAUGGUAAGCAUGGUAUGAGCAUGAAAUGAGCAAAGCCAUAAUCAUGGGAAUGGAUUAGAGAGCUUACCUAGUGGAAAACAGUCCACUGCCUCUUGGUAUUAGAGGAAUGGAGGAAGAAGGAAGAGGCUUUAAUGCUUGUGCAAUGGAAGAGUAAUGAAAUGGAUAUUUUUCUCCUUUCCUUGCUUGCUCUUGCUUAACUCGAAAAUGGCAGCCACCCCCUUCAGAUUAGGGUUUCUUGUGUUUAUAUAUGUUGGAUUUAAAGUGGCUAAUGGGCUUGCAAUGUUUGGUUUGGUUUAUGAGCAAAAUGCAAUGCAAAAAGUGAGGUGUAUUAGAAGAUCUCUUGUUUUGGCCAAGGUCAAGUGAGUGAAACAAAAGCACAUGGCCAAAUGAGGUAAAGAAAAAAGGUUGGUCGAUUUUGCAGCUUUAUUGGUUGUCUUGGUUUGGCAAGGAAACAAUCCAACAGGGUGACUUUGUGACCUUGUAUCUUGAUGAAUACAUGACCAAAUGACAAGGCAAUGCAAACAGUAGGAAGAGUGCAUGGAGCUUAACAUUUUUCAUGUUGAACACAAAUUGAAAUGAUGAGUGGAAAGAGGUGAAAAUGACCAUAAAGUGCAGGUUUCAUCAUGCCAACAGGUUGGGCCAGUUUGGCCUAAAUGCUGCCUGGAAAUUCAGUUCAUGAUGCCAACUUUAGAUGAGUGCAUCUCCCAAACCAAUGAUCCAAAUGGGAUGAUUCCAAAAAGGUGUGAAAGAGGACAUGGAAAGGUAAAAUUUUCAUGAAGAAAGUAUUUUCAAAAGAUGCCUUGAAAUGCAAGAAAUCUGGCCAAGAAGUUUUGACAAAUUUUGCAGAUUUUGGACUUAGAAAAUUUUCUAAGUGUCCUAAAAUAAUGUCUCAAUUUGACCAAGCAUAACUUUCUCAAUUCUAAUCCAAAUGGAACAAACUUUAUAUCUCUAGAAAUCUUGGAACAAUAGGAACAACUUUCAUGUUGGAGAAAUUUUCAAAUGGAGCUUGCAUCUUGAUGGAAAAUGGGCUUAAAGUGGGUGCAACAAUCAUGAAAACUUGCCCUAAAUGGAAAGUCAACUAUUUCCAAAUUUAGUAACUUUUCCAAUUCCUGAUUAAAUGAUGAAUCCAUGAUCCAACCUUGAUCAAAUUUCACAUGUAGGCUCCUUAGGCAUGAAUUUUGAGAUUCCACUUUCAAAAUGUCAGGAGUUGACUUUUCUGGCCCCACAAUUGACUUUUCCCAAACUGCCUGAUUCCAGACUCCAUUGAUCAAUUGAAGCACCUCUGGCUCAAAUAAAGAGCUGAUUUUUUGUAUGUAGACCCUUGUGGACAUAUGGAGGGCCAUGGAAAAGAGUUUCACCCAAGGAAUCAGAAAUAGACUAAUUUUAUACCAAACCCUAGUUUAGGGCAAAAAUGAUCAGGAACUGAUUGCACUGAUUGCCAAUGGAUCUUUUUGAGAUAAUUGUGAAUCUUCCUAGGCCAAGAUGCCUCUCUAGUCAUGACAUGAAUGAUCCCCCUUUACUUCCAACCAAACAUUGCCUGUUGCAGGUAUCCAUGAAAUCCUAAUUUCUGAUUAAAUCCAUAUGUACAUUCUAAGAGCUCUGAAUUCUCCACUGAUGAACUGAGGACCAUAACAAGACACUUGGACCUCCUUGAGACCCUUAAGACUUGUAUGCUUGGAAAAUGAAGUCCAAUUCUCAAUCCUGCUUUGUGUGGGCUCCCUCUGGUUAAGGAGUGGUCAAUCAAACCCUGAUUUCCAAGUCACUAAUGCAGUACGCAAUGAGUAUGACCUAGUAUGAUGCUAAUGAAAUGUAAGGCACAAUCCCAUGCUUCCAAGAAAAAUGAAGGGUAAAUUUUGGGGUAUUACACAUACUUUUAGUAAUUAGAAGAAAUCAAAUAACUUAAGCUAACACUCAUAUUUGCAAAGCUAAUUAAACGAUUCCCGUUGACUACAACAGAUGUGUGGGAUGCUAAUACCUUCCCAACGUAUAAUCGACUCUAGAACCUAAAUUUGGUUGCGACGGUUAUAUUUUUGUUCUUUUAGGGUUUUAUUGAUGUUUUCCCAUUUAAAAAUAAACUUCGGUGGCAAAUCUGUUGUAUUUUGAGCGCUUGUUCACUUGGGUGACUUUUGCGCGCGCUAACUGGCGACUCUAUCGGGGAUCAUCUAAAGAGUCGAACCUAGUUUAGUUAGAUUUGUGAUGAAUGUUGGAUUUGUUUAUAUUUCUUAUGUUUUUAUGCUUUAUUAUUAUAUUGCCUUAUUAUACUUUAUUCAUUUAUGUAUAUAUUCAUCUAUGGGUUUGAGAAUUGUCGUUUGAGCGAAGCUCUGUACCUGAGCUUUGAGAAAACCCUAAGUUUAAGUUUUGAAGUUGUGUAGUGUUAGAUCCCAAAGUACACACCUUGAAUGGAUAACAUGAGGAAUCCAUCUAGAUUAGACAUUUUUCGUAAAUCUUGUCAUAAAAUGGGUCGCUCGUUGCAUGACGAAGAUCCGACUAAGGUCCAUGACUAUAUGAACCUGUUAGAAGCAGUUUGCAUAUGGAACCUGUUUGAAGAUAGAGACGUUAGGAGAAGUUAUUUUAUACUGGUAUAUAUAGGAGUUCAUUAUGUUGAAUUAAGGGUGUUCAUUAUUUUAUAGAAAUCUCACUAAAUAAACUCAAAGUAUUAGCGCAUAGAGAAACAAGUAACUUGUUGAGAGAAUGUAAGAAUAGUUGAAUUACCAUUCUUUACUUUCAAUGAAAAGUUGCUAAGUUUUACCUUCUCGAUCCUUGUUUCGUUUUAUUUAAUUCGAUAUCAUUUAAAUUACUUUACUAAGCAUUUAUAGUUUUUCUACCUAUUCCUUUAAACAUUCCUUUUAGUCAAAGUCGACGGUUUACCUCUUUUUUCUUACAAGUACUUGAAUUUUUUUUCCGACCAAGUCAAAAGCGAUUAUGUGAAAACACAGAAACAAAAACUAAACAGUUAUUUUGCAUUAUGUCCUAGGAUUCACUGGUUGAUCCUGCAAGUAACCCGUAGUCGGAGACCAACGGUUGUUUACCAUUUUUUCAGCGUAAAUAGGAGGUCAGCCGCUGAGAAAGGGAAAUGGAAGAAAAUCGAAGUUGGUGGGGGAUCUUCUUACCUUGACAAUUCCCAAACUUCCAAAAAAUAUUCACAUAUUUCAAAACACUACAUGGGGAAGAACCACACUACACGCACUCAAUGGAGAAGGCACCAACAAAACAAAAAGUUUGCCUAUGUAGUUGGAAGUGUGAGUAAGAAGAGCAGUGCCCAGUCUUUGGCCGAUGGACAAAAGACGAAGAAGCCUAUAAAACAAAGGUUGUUUCCUCUACUACCGCCAGUGGUCGAAUAAAAACCUAAAGUUUCCGUAGGAAUGGACAAGGAGAUGGAUAGUAACGACUUCAACUCUAUGUAGAAGGGUGAGUUGGAUAUCAUAUGUAAUAUGAUAUCAGUGCUUCCAUUGGAAUAUGAUAUAGUUACUAAGGGAACUGAAUAGAAGGAUGGGUUGGCCAAAGAAAUGGAUACACAUAAGCCUUUAUGAUAUUAUGUGAUGCACGAUGGCUCAAUCAACGAGGACAAGGCCAUCUUCGAAAGGCCUGGAAUAUUGAUGCAACAACAUAUGAAGCCUUUAUACAUAAGGACCAAAGUAGAAGGUGUCGGGGUUAACAAGGUUCUUAUUGAUUGUGGAGCCUACAUCAAUGUCAUGCCACAUUCCCUACUUAAGAGGAUUGGCAAGUAAGACACUGACUUGAAAUCUAACAACAUGGUAUUAUCCAAUUAUGAGGGAAAAACCAGCAUGCCAUUGGGUGUAAUCCAAGUGGAUAUGGUUGUAGGGACCACAACUCAACCUAUGUUGUUUGUUGUAAUUUCAACCAAAGCAAAUUACAAUCUGCUCUUGGGUCGAGAAGUGAUCCAUAGAGUUGGGUGUUUUCCAUCCUCCAUGCGUCAAAGAAUAACGAUAUGGAAGUCGGACGGGAUCAUAGAUCAUAUUGAGGCCGAUCAAAUAUUUUUUCAUGCAAAAUUGAAUCAUGUCAACAAGAGGAAUUUUGAUCAAUAAUUGGCGAAUAUUUUUCCAUGUCUAUCGGCAGGAAACGACUUCGAUUUUAAGGGUGCUGAUGCAUAUUACUCCGUGAAGUUGCACCAUUUACAUAGCUUUACUUGUAUGAGACCAUCGGUGGACAUACCAUAUGGUAUGGAUCAGACAAUGAAGAUGUCUUAAUCGAGUGUCUUGGCUCUGAUUUCGGCCUACAUGGUUGAAAAAAAUCAAAAGCGGCCUUAGAGGCCAAAUCACAAGAAAUGAUGGUUGUCGAAGCCAUCCAGUUUGAAAAUUUUGAAUUUGACCAAAAUGAGUAAGAAAUGGCUUCAGAAAGCCGCAUACUCGACUGCAUAUAUGAUGAAGAGCCUUUGAGGUUUGAGAAAUACCCACUUGCUUUGACCAAAAGGAUGCAAGCUCGGGAUCCUUUGGAAGAAAUUGAUAUGGGGAACGAGUUGACUAAAAAUCCAACUUACAUAAGUGUCAAACUCGACUCAACCCUAAAAGCAGGACUAAUCGUGAUGCGGAAGGAGUUCAAAAAUUACUUCACAUGGGAUUACCAUGAGAUGCCGAGACUUAGUCGGGAAUUGGUAGAGUUGAAACUGUCAAUCAAGCUUGAUAAGAAGCCUGUAAAACAAACUCCAAGGAGGUUUGCGCCAGAAUUUAUGUCAAAAAUCAAGUCAAAAAUCGAAAGAUUGUUGCGAAAUAAGUUUGUAAGACCUGCAAGGCACAUCGAGUGGUUAGCCAACAAUAUUCCGGUAAUUAAAAAGAAUGACACUCUCAGGGUCUGUAUUGACUUUAGGUAUUUAAAUGCAACCACUCCAAAAAACGAACACCCAAUGUCAGUGGCAGAAAUGCUAGUCAACUCAGAGGCUAAUUUUAGGUAUUUGAGUCUUUUAGAUGGUUACUCAGGUUAUAACCAAAUUUUUAUUGUAGAGGAAGACAUGGCUAAGACGGCUUUUCAAUGUCUUGGAGCUUUGGGUACUUACGAGUGGGUAGUGAUGCCUUUUGGACUUAAAAAUGCUGGCACAAUCUAUCAAAGGGUGACUUGUUAGGUUUCGUGGUUCAUAAGAAGGGAAUCGAGAUAAAUCAUAACAAAAUGAAGGCUAUACUUAAUAUGGAGCAUCUGACAACCAAGAAGCAGCUACAAUCUCUACUUGGAAAGAUCAACUUCUUGAGAAGGUUUAUUUUGAACCUAAGCAAAAAGACAAAUGUAUUCACAUUGUUGCCACGUUUGAAAAAGGAGGAAGGUUUCAGAUGGGAACCAAAACAUCAAAGAGAAUUCAAUGAUAUCAAAUAGUACAUGUCGAAGCCUUUUGUGUUAUUACCCCUAUAAGAAACAAGAGCAUGAAAUUGUACAUUUAUGCACCAGAUUCAAUAAUAGGCUGUAUGUUAGCCCAAGAAGAUGAUGAUAGCGUCGAAAGAGGAAUAUAUUGUCUUAGUUGAGUGCUAAUUGAUGAACAAACUAGGUAUAGCUUGAUAGAAAAGUUGUGCUUGCCUUUGUAUUUUGUAUGUUCGAAGUUGAAAUACUAUAUAAAAUUGACAUAUGUGUUUGUUUACUCACACUUUGGCAUUAUAAAACAUAUGUUAUCGAAGCCAAUUUCACAUGGUAGAAUAGGAAAAUUGGCUUUGGACCUAAUUGAAUAUUCUUUAACAUAUGCACCGCUAAGAGCCAUGAAAGUUCAAGUUGUUGUGAAUUUCAUAAUAGAUCCUCCAAUAACGGAAGUAGCACAAAAUUAUGUCGAGAAAUUGGCAUGGAAGUUUUAGUUUGACGGUUCCAGUCACUCUAACGGAACUGAUGUUGGGAUCCUAAUUAUCUCUUCUUAGGGGAUCCCAACAAAGUACAAAUUCAAAAUUAACGACCAUUGCUCCAAUAAUGAGGCUAAAUAUGAAGCCUUAAUAAUUGGUCUUUCUAUCUUGUUAGACCUUAGGGCAACAAGAGUCGAGAUUAAGGGAGAUUCAAAACUAAUGGUGAGGAAAUUGACAAAGGAAUAUAAAUGAAUUAACGGUACUUUAUUGAUGUAUUUUGUCAAAGCAAACUCAUUGUUGAAGAAGUUUGACAUGGUUGACAUUAAACAUUUGCCACAAAUUGAAGAUCAGGAGGCCAAUCAUUUGGUCCAUAUUGCUUUAGGGUAUCGGGUAUCUAAAGAAAAUUGGAAAAACUGAUUGAGGUCAUAGACAAGUUGAUCUCGACCAGUGUAUUAGCUCUAGAAUUGUCAAAGACGAAACUAGUGGGGGUAGAAUAAUUGGGAGACCUAAAUCCCAAAAUUUUCGAAAUUUUCUCCUUUGAUAAUUUGUUAAACGACGAUUGGAGGAAAUAAAUCAUAGAGUUCUUAAGAGAUCCAACGGGAAUAAUAGAUCAAAAGAUCAGAUACAGUGUGUUAAGUUACGUUGUCAUGGGUAAUGAGUUAUUCAAAAAGACUCCUGAAGGAGUUUUUCUUAAAUGCCUUAGUGAAAAUGAGGCCUACUUGGCAAUAUUUAGUGCACAUAGUGGAUCUUAUGGUGCCCAUCAAGCAUACCACAAAAAUGAAGUGGUUAUUAUUUCGACAAGGAGUCUACUGGCUUACCAUGUUGAAAUAAUGCAUAGAAUUUGCCAAAGGGUGCCAAGAAUGUCAAAAGCACGUAGGAAUUCAGCAUGUCGCAGUCAGUGAGCUACAUGCAAUAAUAAAACCUUGGCCAUUUAAAGUUUGUGCUUGGAUUUUAUAGGAAAGAUUAGAUCGACGUUGUCUAAGUCUCACAUAUAUAUUUUGGUAGUCAUAUACUAUUUUACCAAGUGGUUUGAAGCAAUACCUUUGGUAAAUGUCGACCAAGACGUGGUGAUUAAUUUCAUCCAAAGUCACAUAAUAUCUAGAUUUGGGAUCCUUAAAACUAAAACCACAAAUCAAGGAUCAAUGUUUAUUGGACAGAAGAUGGUUAGGUUCACCUCAAGAUCAGGGAUUAAGUUGUUGACCUCUACUCCUUAUUAUGCUCAAGCAAAUGGUCAAGUCGAGACUACAAAUAAGGUUAUAAUUAGCCUGAUUAAGAAACAUGUAAGCCAAAACCCAAAGAAUUGACAUAAGAAGCAAGACCAAGCACUUUGGGCUUGUCGAACGUCCCCUGAAGAGGAAAAUAAUGCCACGCCUUUUAGAUUAACCUUUGGGCAUGACAUAGUGUUGCCUGCAGAAAUACAUUUGUAGUCAGUGAGAAUUCAAAGGAAGGGAGAAAUCCAUACAAAUCAUUAUUAGAGCAUAAUGAUGGAUGAACUUGUCGACCUAGACAAGCAAAGGUUGAUCGCUUUAGACGUUCUAAUUAGACAAAAAUAGAGCAUAACUAAAGCCUAUAAUAAGAAGGUCAGCUUGAAAGUCUUUGCGGCCAGAGAUUACGCGUGGAAGGUAAAAUUAUCUAUGGAUCAAAGAGACAAAACCUUAGGGAAAUGGUCUCCAAAUUAGGAAGGAAGAUUUAAAAUUAAUCAGCUAUUUUCAAAUAAAGACUAUGAAAUUGAGGAGUUAAGUUUUGACGAUCGAAUAUUACGAGUAAAUGGGAGAUACCUAAAAAAGUAUAGACCUAUCUUACAAGAAAUAAAGAUAUCGACAUAAAAGUAUGUUAGGCCUUACAAAGUAGGAAGUGCAAUAUAAAAUACAAGAAAACAAAUAAAAUACAAAUGAUAUCAGCCAAAAGACUACAACUUGUUCCUCAACUCUUCGAAGCGUAGCUUUGUGCGCUCGAGCUUUCUAUCAAUCUGAAGGUCGUCAUCCUUCAAUUUCUCCACUUUGGCUUCUAGUGUUUAAUAGCCUUGAAUCAUUCUAGACCAAUAUUGGCAGUCUCAACAAGCUUUUGGUCGACGGAAUCUAGGUCAAAAGCGUUCAAUUUCUCUCUCUCUCUCUCUCUCUCUCAGAGAGAGAGAAGAGAGAGAGAGAGUCUCUCUCUCUCUCUCUCUCUCUCUCUGCUUCCUCGAUCUUCAGCUCCAGCUAGUUCAUUUGUUAGGUCUAGGUUAAGAAAUCAACAUCUAGAUUUGCCAAUUUAUUCUUUGCUUUAGCCUUUUCCUAUAACUUAAUAACUUGAGCUUGAGACACAAAGACCAAGCCUUGGUGUUCGUGCAGAAUACCGGCUCACAGCUCGAUACGAGUGUCACUUUCUUGUUUCUUCCUGACAACUUGGACAACCUGCUCAAGCAGAGGUUCGAAGCCCAACACAAUAUCAAUAAUCGGUCUUGAUACUUAUGGUUGGCUUAGUUUCACAACAAAACCUUGGAUCUCGAGCAAAGUAAUUGGAUCCUCUUUGAUAGUUUGGAGAAGAUCCAAGUUAACAAUUUUGGAUUUUAACUGCCCAAACAAUUCAUCAAAAUUGUCAAAUUAACCUCCAGGUGAGUUGAGAGAUAAAUUAGAGGAACCGUCAUGGCUAUCGACGAGUAUUUUGAAAGCCUCGACGGGGUUCUCUUGUUUACCAGUAGUUGUUGAGGCAUCCAGUGUUGAGGUGGACACUUCACUAAAGCUUCCUUGGGAUCGAGACAUAGACCCUAGAGUAGGAAAGGAGUGAGUGUACUCCUGAAAGCCAUCAUGACCUGGAGACCCUGCAAGUGGUUGUGCAUGGUUGGUUACAUUAACAUUUAGAGUCCCAACAUGAGCCCCCCUAGAGUUCCUUAUGGGGGACAUGGUCUUAUAAGAGCUUUCAGCAUCAGACCUCUAGCCUGGUUGGUUGGGUGAGUGGGGGAAGUUGUUCCUCGAUCCUGCCUAAUAGCCAGAGACUCGAUAGUUGGACUUUCAGUAGUCUCCAAAAUGGGAUUCAUCAUCCAACCACCAACUGGCCUUGCUUGGUCGGUUACCUUACCAUUCCUAGUGCCAUUGUACAAGUUGUCAUAAGGGGUGGUCGAUAAAGGUGUUGUGCAUUUUAUGCUUGAAUCCCUACUAUAACAGUUAAGUUAAUUUAGCUGAGGCUGAGGGGCUUCAGGGUUAGUGUCAUACGGCUUCCAAAAACAAUUUUAAUUAGUAUGGUUCAACAUUACCAAUUAGAGAGUAAGAAGGCAAAGUUAUUUGUGUAGUGUCUGGAUGGGGAUUCGAAAGCGUUGUUUCAGCUUCUUGAAUGGGUUGCUGGGAGGUGUUACCACUCUUUUUUUCUUCAUAGAUGGCAAUGCACUCUCUUCAAUACCAUCAUCUUUGAAUAUUGUUAGAGCCUCACGCCCUACCCUUUUCUUCUUCCUGAUAGAAGCUUUACCAUGGGUUAUGUUUGCCUAUGAGGGUGCAAUACUGGUCUUAGCAAUGUGGAUGCCUGCAUUUGUUGGUUGUGAUGGAGGAAUGGGAGAAGUUUGUUGGCAUUUACCGAUGUCGAAAUCGCUCUCUUUAUGGGGAGACUAACGAGGUUUGACAAUAUUAGUAAAGGUUAAACCUAGUCAAGACAGAGUAAAGGAUACAAAUCAAAAUCUCUUCAUCAAAGGACUCGUCCUUGGAGUCAUCGUCUAGAUAUCUUAUCCUUGAUGGACUUGCAGAAGUAGAGGCCUUUGUUGUUUUCUUACCCUGAGAAAGCAGGCUUAAAUCAGUAACGUCGACGAAAAGAAAAAGAAAGAACUUGUCGUGCCGCAUAAAAUACCUGAGCGUAUCGCACACUCGAAGAUACAACAUAGUCGCCACCAAACUUCAUUUGUUCCAAAAGGAAAGGGAAAAUAUCGAUAAAACCCAGGGAAAGAGAAAAAAAGGUAAGGAAGUCGAUUAUGCAAGGAUAUGAGUAUUCCCUCCCAUUAUUCUAUGUUGCUUAAGGCUCGUGGCUCACUAUUCGUAUCAUGACUGACAAGUGUUGAAGGUGAAUAUUUUUGUUGUCCUUGAUGGAUUAAGCAUUUAUCCCAUCUUGAUGUCCAAAGUCUUCAAAGUCCUGAGUGUGAAACUUGAAUUGACUUAAGGUCCAGUGUAGUGCCAAUACAGAGGGUUAGUCCUAUCAAGUGAUCAAGAGGCUUAUGAUCACUUGACUAGACAGGGGAAUCAGACAUAUGUCAAAUGAUUAGUUGAUCAAAGUCUUUUUUGAUCAACUCAAUAAAUCAGGGAUAUGAUCAAGCUAUGAAUUACAAGCACAAGAACUUUUAAAUCAAAUGACUAAAAUCAUGAAGGAAAUACAAUGUUAACACCUAGUAGUUUCUAAAUUUAAAACAAAAAUUCUAAUCAAAAUCUAAUAUUACAUGGUGUAGUAGUUUCCAAAAUUAUAAUUGAAAAUUAAAUCUAAAAUUAAUCUUGAUUAUUUGCUAACAUGUAUGAUUUUUAUCAAGAAGUGGAUUAAUGAGUAAAAUCAAUUAAAAUCUAACUACUAUUUAAGUACUAUCAUGGAAUUUUUUAAAAUAAAAUGUGAAAAAUGACAUUAAAAUGUAUGGGAAAGAAAUAACUAUUCAUGCAUUGAAUUGAUUAAGAAGUGUUAAAAAUGACAAAAAAUAAAUGAAUAAUAAAAAGGAAAAAAGAAAAUAUAGAGGCAGGGAGUAUGUUAUCCAGGGGGAAUGGAUUCAGCAAGAGGUAUUGGGAUUAGACAGAUAAGGCCCACUAGUUUGUUGUUGCUGAUUGUGUUUGGCAGGGGGUGUCUAAGAAAAAGCAAGAUGUGGAUAGCAAGGCCCUUGGGCCUAGGGUGCCUGAGGCCUAAUGCGAAGCAAAGAUAGGAGAGUUGAGACUAUCGUAUUCAACUCAUUUCUCUUCACCUCAGACCUCUCUCUCAAUUUCUUCUUCACCAGAAAUCGCUUUACCGCACCGGAGGCGGAGGAGCAUUCCAAAUGCACCUCAAACCACCACCAUAUCUACCCUAUCUACCUCAUCUCUUCUACUCUAUAACCAAUUCCCUCUGAAAUGCAAUGAAACCCCUUAACCGAACCAUAACCUUGAAGAAUCCUAGAUCCUAAGAAAGUGAAAUUAAAUUGAAACGGAGGGGAAUAAAGCCACACAACCUUGGGGUUUUGAUUCCACUAAAUGUCCUCUAAAUAUUGGUAACCAAUUCGAGAUGAAAGAUGAAGAAAUGGAGGGAGCUACCAACCUGCAGGGUCUAGGUUCACCCUAGGGAGCUUUGAAGCUUGCUUUGGAGAAGAUGAUGCAGAGAGAAAAUACCAGAGAUGUAUCAGGUAAGCAAAUAUCCAAUUCCUUGCUUCUUGCACUUCUAUUUCUUCUUCUUUUUCUACGAGUAGGUUGUAGGAUAAUUUGGUGUUGCUCUGUGUUAUUGUGGUUGCGUGUGGGAUUGAAGAGUGGUUGAGAGUGAUGAGAUUGAUAAUUCAAAGGGAGACUAAUUGAGGGUGAAAUUGCAGAAUGAAUUGUUUUGUUGAGAAUGAAAGUGGAGUCCUGAUUAUAUAGAGUGUGAAGUGGAAUUAGAUUGUAACCGUUUAGGGCAGAGGUUAGGGCAGUUCAGUUAUGGAUUAGGUCAGUUGUUAGAAUAGAUUGAAGUUAGUCUAAUCAAGAGCAAAGUUAGUUAGAGUAUUAACUCUGUUAAUGAAUUAAAAUUGACAAUUAGUUAUUAUAGUUUGAAGUUAGAGUAGUGAGGAAUGUUAGUUGUGAUUGAAAAUAUGUUAGGAGUUAGUUAGAUUGAUGUUAGUGAAAUAUAUAAAAAAGAACUAGGUUAUUUAAUUUUUUCAGGAGUUAGGAUCAUGACUUGGAUUAUUAUGAAGUUAAUCACUCUUAUUGUAUUACUUGAAUGAAUGGGUCUUGUUAUUGAGUUAGUUGGGCCAUGGUUGAACCAUUAGAGUGAAUUGAACUGUUGCCAUGGAUAUUGUUGAUUUGAGUUGAAUUGCUAUGGUCAGUUGCUGCAGAAUUAUAGUUAACUUAGUUAACUUUGAACUUUUGUUCAAAACUGUUAGUAUGAUGAGCUCAUUCAAUGAAUUUCCUACUGCAUUGCAAAUGUUUGAAUGAAUUUGAGUAUGAAUUGAAUUGAGGUUAGUUGCUUGUCAUGCUUAGUGUUUGGUAGAUAUGGUAAGUUUUAUGAGAGAAAACAUAAGAAGUGGAGAGAGAGAGAAUAUGACAAAGUUUGUUAGCACUGCACAUGGGUGGUACAGUUGGCAACAGCUGGGUGGUAAUAGAAUUGAGGAGUAAGCCAAUAAAUGAGGGAGCACUCACUCUGUGGUGGUAGGCAGAAAUUGAGUGGAGAAUAUCCUCCUAGGAGAGUACAGACCUCUCUAAGUGCCUCUAUUUGCUUUCUAUUUUCUCUGCAGCUUUUUGCAACUUUUAUGUAUUUGCUUUGUAUAACUAGAUCCCAUAUGAACUCUAGUUUUCAUCAAUAAAAAUCAGAACUUUCCUACUCUAUUUUUUGUACUUACUAUUCCCUUUACUUAAGAUACUAAAUUGAACCUAUCAAUUUGGUAUCUAGAGCCUUGGUUUCGUUUCACUGUGGAUGGUCAUUACGAGAAGCAUCAUGAAAAACCGAGUAGAUACCGUGGAGCAGAGAAUGAACAAUUUUGAAGGGAUGAUGGAGCAUAUUAGACAGCUGGUGAUAGAGCAGCAAGCAAGACCGCAAGGCACGGUGGAGCAAAUACGCCAGCUGAUUCAAGAGCAACCGGGUCGGAAUCACGGAGGAUCCGACGAAGAAGAUGAGAGAAGCGGAAGGAACACGAUAUCGUGUGAAUCCAGACCUAGGAACCGCCGUCAUAAUGGUGUAAACAUAUCUCGUUCCAUGGGAAGCAGACGAAGGUUGGAAAUUCCGAUUUUCAAAGGAGAGGAUACGUAUGGGUGUCUCGUUCGGGUUGAGAGGUAUUUUCACCUCAAUGGGGUGAGGAUGCGUGACAAGCUAGAUGCAAUUGUACUUGCCAUGGAAGACAAAGCUUUGAACUGGUAUCAAUGGUGGGAGGAGCAGGCACCAUUGAAGACUUGGGAAGAGUUCAAAGUGGCUGUGAUGAGAAGGUUCCAACCUGGGUUACUGCACAAUCCUUUGAGACCCUUGUUAAGCCUGAAACAGAGAGGGUCAGUUGUAGAGUAUAUGGAGAAAUUUGAAAUGUUAGUAGCCUAACAGAACUGAUGGACAAGGCUUUACUCAUUGAGGAGAAAAAUGAUGUGCUGCUUAAGAAGGGUGGCUCUUGGAGAGAUAGAGGAUGACCCUUAAAACUCAAAGAUCCUGCAGACUUUGGAGGAUUUAAGAAGGAAGGGGGAAAUGAGAAAUACAAGAGUAGGAGAUUGAAUCCUGCAGAGCUGGAAGAGAGGAGCAAAAAAGGGUUGUGUUGUAAGUGUGGAGACAAGUGGAAUAGGGAGAAUAUCUGUAAGUUCACGCAUAUGAGCUUGAAAUUGUGUGAGAAUAGUAGUGAUGAAGAAGAAGAAACAGGGGGAAUAGGGGUUCAAACAGAAGAACUGGUGGAAGUAGAAGAAGAAUUCAAAACUCUACAAUUGUCGAUGCAAAGUAAACAAGGAUUUACUUCUAAUAAAUAUUUUAAAAUGAUGGUGACUGUGAUGGAGAAGAAGCUGGUAACCCUAAUUGAUUCAGGAGCAACAAGUAACUUUAUUGAUGCCAAACUAGUAGAACAGAUGGGAUUGAAGUUGGUAGAAACUCCCCCUUAUGUAAUUGAGGUGGGAAAUGGUGAAAGAGUCAAAUAUCAGGGAAUCUGUGAAGGGUUGAGAUUUAUGAUGCAGGGGGUGGAACUUAACCAACAUUUCAUGAUAGAGUUAGGGGGGACUGAUAUGGUAUUGGGGAUGGAUUGAUUGGCCAAUUUAGGUAAUAUUGAAGCAAACUUUGCGGAGUUAAGCCUGAAAUGGGCGUCUGAAGGACAAAAGCAUAAUAUACAGGGUGGUCCGUUUUUGUGCACCAAACAAGCUUCCAUGAAAGCUAUGAUAAAAGCUUUGCAUAAUGAAGGCAUGGGAUUUUUCCUACAGAGUCUGCAGGCAGAGGAGCAGUCCCCAGAACUGACAGAAUGGGAAGAAGUGUUGAUAUCUUUUGAGAAGGUUUUCAACCUCCCUGCUAGGUUACCUCCUAUAAGGAAGCAUGAUCAUGCGAUUAGGCUCAAGGAUGAAGCUGAUAUACCUAAUCUCAGACCUUACAGGUAUCCUUUUUUCCAAAAGAAUGAGAUAGAGAAGAUAGUGAAGGAAAUGUUGCAAACUAGAAUUAUUAGGCAUAGUACAAGUCCUUUUUCAAGCCUAGUUUUAUUGGUAAAGAAAAAAGAUGGAGGAUGGAGGUUUUGUACUGAUUACAGGGCCUUAAACAAGGUGACAAUUCCUAAUAAGUUUCCAAUUCCUGUAAUUGAGGAAUUGCUAGAUGAGUUAGGUGGAGUUGUUAUCUUUUCUAAGCUGGAUUUGAAAUCUGGUUACCACCAGAUUAGAAUGAAAGAGGAAGAUAUAGAAAAGACAUCUUUUAGAAUUCAUGAAGGCCACUAUGAAUAUCUAGUGAUGCCUUUUGGACUGUCAAAUGCCCCCUCUACAUUCCAAGCCCUGAUGAAUGAGGUUUUAAUUUCCUUAGGAAAUUAUGUUUAGUGUUUUUUGAUGACAUUCUAAUCUACAGCAGAAGCAAAGAAGAACAUAAGGACCACCUAACCAUGAUCUUAAAGGUAUUGCAAGAUCAGCAGCUAUAUGCCAACAAGAAAAAGUGUUCUUUUGGCCAAAAGGAGAUUGAAUAUUUAGGGCAUAUUAUUUCUGGACAAGGAGUGUCUGCAGAUCCAAAAAAGAUAGAAGAUAUGCUUAAAUGGCCUACACCUAAAAAUUUGAAAGGGUUGAGGGGAUUUUUUAGGACUCACUGGCUAUUACAGGAAGUUUGUGAGGAACUAUGGAAAAAUUGCUUGGCCUUUAACACAACUGCUCAAGAAGGAUGGUUUUAAAUGGAGUAGUGAGGCUCAAGAAACUUUUGAGAAGUUGAAAAUGGAUAUGACUACUAUCCCUAUUUUGGCCAUGCUUGAUUUUGAUAAAGAAUUUGUUGUAGAAACUGAUGCCUCAGGCCAAGGGAUUGGAGUUGUCCUAAUGCAAGGAGGAAAACCUAUUUGUUACAUGAGCCAAACACUAUCUGAUAGGGCUCAACAGAAAUCUGUAUAUGAGAGAGAGUUGAUGGCUAUAGUCAUUACAAUUCAAAAGUGGAGGCCUUAUUUACUUGGAAGGCAUUUCAAAAUUCACACAGAUCAAAAAAGCCUUAAGUUUAUCACUGAGCAGAGAAUCAUGGGAGGAGAACAACAGAAGUGGUUAUCCAAACUUUUAGGGUUUGACUUUGAAGUGAAGUACAAACCAGGAAAAGAAAAUAGUGCUGCUGAUUCACUGUCUAGACAUAUGCAGUAUGCCCACAUCACCACCAUUCAGUGUGAAGCCUGGGAAGGGUUAGAAGAGGAGAUUAGGAAGGAUGAUAAAUUGACUUCAUAACACGUUUGGAAUUAAAGUCUGGGACGGUCGGUCUUCCGGUUUCAGUUAAAAGGAGGGAGAUUGUAUCAUGAAGGAAGGGUGGUAAUUCCCAGAAAUUCACCUAGGAUUUCUUGGAUUCUGAAUGAAUUCCAUGAUACUGCAGUUGGGGGACAUUCAGGGUAUUUAAGGACAUACAAAAGGCUUGCUAGUGUUGUUUAUUGGGAGGGCAUGAGGAAGAGAAUCUAGGAGUAUGUCCAGGCAUGUGAAGUGUGUCAAAGAAAUAAGUAUCAAACUUUGACACCAAGAGGCUUAUGCAGCCAUUACCCAUUCCCACACAAGUCUGGAGUGGCAUUUCUAUGGACUUUAUUAGUGGAUUGCCUAAAGUGCAAGGAGUAGAUACUGUCAUGGUGGUAGUGGAUAUAUUAACCAAGUAUGCCCAUUUCUUCCCUAUCAGCCAUCCUUACACAACUAAGAGUAUUGCUGAAGUCUUUCUUCAGGAAGUGAUCAGAUUGCAUGGAUUUCCUAGUUCCAUAGUUUCUGACAGAGAUAAAGUGUUUCUCAGCCACUUAUGGGCAGAAUUGUUUAAACUGGAAGGGACUAAAUUGAAGUACAAUAGUGCUUACCAUCCUCAAUCUGAUGGCCAAACAGAGGUAGUAAAUAGAUGCUUAGAGACUUAUUUGAGGUGUGUGACUGGGCUCAAGCCUAGGCAAUGGCCUAAGUGGAUGGCAUGGGCAGAAUAUUGGUACAACACCAAUUACCAUGCAUCUUUGAAAACUACUCCUUUUGAGGCAUUAUAUGGAAGAGCUCCUCCAGUGCUAAUUAGAGGAGAUAUCCCUGGAUCUGCUAUAGAUUACUCCUUUUGAGGCAUUAUAUGGAAGAGCUCCUCCAGUGCUAAUUAGAGGAGAUAUCCCUGGAUCUGCUAUAGAUGAGGUCAACAAACUGACCAUGGAAAGAAACCUGAUGAUCAAGGAGUUGCAAAAGCAGUUGUUGAGGGCUCAAGAUUUGAUAAGGAGCCAGGCAAAUAAGCAUAGAAGGGAAGUGGAAUAUGAGGUGGAAGAUAUGGUAUUCGUAAAAAUUCAGCCUUAUAAGAUGAAAAAACUGGCAAAAAGGCUAAAUCAGAAACUGAGUCCAAGGUAUUAUGGGCCAUAUGAGGUUAUACAAAGAAUUGGAGUUGUGGCUUAUAAGCUCAAAUUUCCUGAGGGCUCUAAGGUGCAUCCUGUCUUCCAUGCAUCUCUGCUUAUAAAAGCUGUAAUCCCGGUGGUGGAACCCCAACCUCUACCAAGUUGCAUGAAUGAGGAGUGGCAGUUGGAACCAAUGCCUGAGAAAGUGAUAAGUGAUAGACGAAAUAAACAAGGGGAACUGGAAGUGUUGGUGAAAUGGAAAAAUCUCCCUGAAUUUGAGAAUUCAUGGGAGUUGGCAGAAAAGAUGUGAACUGAGUUUCCAGCCUUCAUCCUUGAGGUCAAGGAUAGUUUUGAAGGGGGGAGAGUUGGUAGAUAUGGUAAGUUUUAUGAGAGAAAACGUAUGAAAUGGAGAGAGAGAGAGAGAGAGAGAGAGAGAGAGAGAGAGAGAGAGAGAGAAUAGGACAAAGUUUGUUAGCACUGCACAUGGGUGGUACAGUUGGCAACAACUGGGUGGUAAUAGAAUUUAGGAGUAAGCCAAUAAAUUAGGGAUCACUCACUUUUGAAGGUGAGAAAAACAAGAAAGGGGGGUUUGAAUUGUUUUGGAAAAUAAACGCUUUUUCAAAAGAAGAACACACAGAAUUUUAUACUGGUUCGCUUAUAACACACAGCUACUCCGGUCCACCCGGCCAAGGUGAUUUCGCCUUUAAAAAGGACUUAAUCCACUAAUCUUGAAAGAUUAAUACAACCAAACGUCUAAGAGAGUGAUCUCUUAGUCCUCCCAAGUAUACAGACUACGCAGAGUCACUUGAGGAACAAAAUCAAUUUAGCAAAAAUAGAUUUGUAAUCGAGAGUGCUUCUAAGAGUAAGCAAAUAUUACUCGUCUAAGAGAGUGAUCUCUUAGUCCUCCCAAGUAUACAGACUACGCAGAGUCACUUGAGGAACAAAAUCAAUUUAGCAAAAAUAGAUUUGUAAUCGAGAGUGCUUCUAAGAGUAAGCAAAUAUUACGGCAAAAAGAGCAAGCAAGUGUUUUCACGUAUGAGCAACAACUCGUGAAAAACUAAGAGAGAAUGUAAAGAAUUUUCUGUGCGUUGUUGUGCGUCUCUCACUGAAGUAUGCUGUCCUUUAUAUAGUGCUGAAAGAACCGUUGGAGUGAUGACAGAAUAUUGGUCUUUGAAGAGCAUUCAAUGUCAUUACUUCUGUGUUUCUUGCCAUAACCAAUUUGUCUCCCUGAAUAACUUCUUUCCAAAAAUACUUUCUUUCCAUUUGAAGAAGUUCUUUCCGUUACUCUUUCUUGAUUUGGAGAAUCUUCAUCAGAGUCUUCGUUAUCUCGGAGGUUGUGUCAAUCGGAGAUUGCGUUGAGGUUACGUCAGAGCUUCUAAGAGUACUGGUCUUUUAGAUCAUCAGAGUUGAGUCCAGUGGAAGUUUAGAGCUUCUGGUAUUCUGCUGUCCUAUUUUGCUCAGAGUCAGAACUUCUAGAGCGCACUUCUUCUUCAGAUGCUUUUGAUCUUCUAGUACUUUAUAUCUGAUAAGAGUUUGUAUCUGAUAAAGUGAUCAGAUUCCUUUGUUUCUGUUCAGAGUCCUGCACACUUAGAGAAAUUUCGUUAGGGUGCCAUUUUUGGUUUCAUCUUUUGUUAUCAUCAAAAUCCUGGAAUUCUAUUGUAAAACUAAUUUUGUUCUUACAAUCUCCCUCUUUUUGAUGAUGACAAAACAAUCUUAGUUUAUAGAUGAAACAUUUAGAGAUAAGAAUUUAUCAGAUCAGAUAGAAGUGAGCUCCCCCUGAGAUAAGCCUGGGAGUUCAGAAGUUCUUACCGAAGCUUCCAUGAUAUGAUGUUUCUAGAUACUCUUCUGCAAAUAUCUAAGUCAAAAAGGAUUAGAACCAUUUUAUUGAAUAAAAUGUUCGCAGAGUACUAAAGGAUUUAGAUAUGUUUUCAUCAGAGCUGUUUUUGUUUCUCCCCCUUUUUGUCAGAAUAAAAAAGACUUAGCAAACAAAAGGAAAGGCAAAAAAUAUAUAUAUUCAGAUAAACAGCACAAACAGCAGAAAGCAAGAACAAACAUAAUCAGAGAGCAACAAGAAAAUCAGUAAAGGAAAAUCCUAGGUGCCUAAGGGUUUGGAGGUGGAGGCAUCCUCUGAAGCAGCUGGGUCAGCAGAUUCUGAAUGUUGACGUUGACUGAAUCCUGUUGAUCCAAUCUAGCUCGGACUUCCUUCUGCUCCUUCUGAAGAUCUUCAAGAGUCUUGAGAACCAGUUUCUGAAUGUUGACGUUGACUGAAUCCUGUUGAUCCAAUCUAGCUCGGACUUCCUUCUGCUCCUUCUGAAGAUCUUCAAGAGUCUUGAGAACCAGAGGGACAAAGGUGGAAGACUCCCCCUAAGUCAUAGCAUCCGGUUCUACCCGGCUGGCAGAUUCUUCAGCACGAUGAGCUUCAUUUUCAGCAGCGGCUUUAGCUUCAGCUUCAGCAGCAACUUUUGCUUCAGCUUCAGCAGCACCAGCGUCAGCUAGAGCUUUGGCUUCAGCUUCCUUAAGUCGUUGAAUUUCCUCUUGCCUUGCUUUUUCUUCUGCUUCCUUUCUGGCCUGCUCCUCAGCUUCUCUGGCUAAGCGUUCAUGUAGUCUUACUUCAGCAUCUCUGAUGAAGUCGUUUCUGACUUGCUCAGAGAGGCUCUUCAGUUUGAAGGCUUCAGAGGUCAUCUAGCCAAUAACUCUGUUCCAGUGUGUCGUAACAGCUGAAGGAUCAUCACUGAUGCCAGAGUUGAUGGUCAGAGACUUGACCUUGUCAACUGAGGCUCCUGCAAACAACACUAUUGCUUCUUCUAGGGUUGGCAGGGUGUUUUAUGGUUCAGAGGGUGGAGGUGGAGAAGUGGGAGGGCUUAGGUUGAGAGUUUGUGGUUUAGCGGAUGUGUUUGGUGGGGGUGUGUCAGAGGUAAUUGGUUCAGGGGGUUGAAGGUCAGAUGAUGUUGGGUUUGGUUGUUCUGCGGAUGGUGAAGUGACUUCAGGGUCAGGUUGGUGUUGGGUUUGUGUUGGCUAUUGUGAGGCCAGAGUCUGAGCGUGAAGUUGGGCCAGAGUGGGAGAUGAGGGGUCAGAGUGUUCUCUGUCUGAUGAGAUGUUGAAGUAGGGGGUGAUUUUGGAGAAGAAGAUGAAGAUGGUGAGGAGGUUUCAUUCAACAUUUCUGCUUCAGAAAGAUGUAAGGUGGUGGUGGCAUGAUUAAAUUUCUGAGAUGUUUUGGUGGUUGAAGGCGGGGUGUCUGAGUGAGUGUAGAUAGGUGUUGGUUGAGGGAGAGAAGAAGCAAUGGGAUGUGUUUGUGCAGAGGGAGCAAGAGAGACUGACUUACCAGAAGGCUCAUGUAGAGGUGCUAGAGGUCUUGAUCCGGAGGAUUCUCCUAGCUUUGCCUUCUUCGCUUGUCUCGCCUUUUCAGAGGGUCCAUGGGGAUGUUUCAUGAAGUUUGGAGCCUUAUAUGGUAGAUCACUUAGGUUGAAGUCUGAGAUAUCCACUCCUUCUUUCAUCAGAUUAUCCAGAUAGAAGAGGAUUACAUUGCGGGGGUCUUCCUUUGAGAACAUAUAGAGUCCAUAGGGGAUCUCCCUCUGAUCUUUUAGACCAUCCCAGGAGGUGUCCAGAGUAGGUUUGACUUUGACCUGAUCCAUAAUCCCCAUGCUCUUCAGAUUUUUGGCGUUGAUAGGUUUUCCAGUGUCGAUCAUUACGUCUUCCAUGAGUCUGAGCUUUAACAGGUGGUCCACCAGACGACUUUCAAUCAGAACGUCAGAAAUUAACAUUCCCAGAGGAAUGUAGUUUCUGGGCUUCAUGUGGUUUCGUGUAUCUCGCACAGAGUCUCUGAGAUAUUUGAAAAGAAGUGCUGGAAGGCAGAGCUUCAGACCCUUGUGGAUGCAGUACAUAAUGCACUUCUGGUCAGUGUUGAUAUAGUCUGAGGAGUUUGACGCUGGGCGAUGAUGGAUGGUACCCAGAAUGAUCUUCAGCCAAACACGGAGGUUCUGAAGUAGCUCCUUGUUCUUGGAGGGGUUGCCUUCUGCGUUCUGCUUGAAGAUUGUAGAAUGAUCUUCAGCCAAACACGGAGGUUCUGAAGUAGCUCCUUGUUCUUGGAGGGGUUGCCUUCUGCGUUCUGCUUGAAGAUUGUUGGGUUAAUCUCUUGGGACAUGUAUUUUGCCCUAGGAUUGACGUUGUAGAUUCUUCUGCCUCCAUCUUUUUCCAUGCCCAGAAGAGCAGCAAUGGACUUCUCAGUUAUCACUAUCUUGACUCCCAGAACAUAGGAGACAAUGAAGUGGUCAUCAGCGUCAUCGAAUCUCCAAAAUUCCUUCACAAGAUUUGUGUAAACUGGACCAUAUAGGCGUUUGAAGUAGUUUCCCCAACCUUGAUUUUUGAGUUCAUCUGUGAGAUCAAUGUCGUUUCUACGCAUGUUGUCAAAAUCCACCAAGGAUUCACAUAGAACUUCCAGCUUCUCAAAUGGCGUUGCAAGGUUGAUGUGAGGCUCACGAUCAAGAAUGUGAGGCUCUUUGUAGAUGGGAGUAGUGACUACACCGGUAACCGCUGGGUUUGGGUUGCUUGAACUUGGAGCUUGUUCGCUUGAAUCCAUUUGUUGAGAGAAGUUGUAGACAGCUUGUUGUUGAGCAUCCAUGAUGUUGUUGAAAACUGAGAUGAAGAUGAAGAAUGCUUGCAGGAAUGCCUUGAGUCUCGACUCCAAAUUCCCACGCACUCUCACUUUUCACACGUUAGUGUGAAAUGAAUGUGUUUAAAUACCCAAAUUAGGGCGCAUGCAAAACGACACACAAAAUAGAGUUUAGCACAAAAACCAAGUCAACACGUUUAGAGGGAAAAAUGAUUACAGCUCAUUAAUGAUGUCUAAUCCCAACAGCUAGUACACUGCUCGAGGAGAUAUCAAGAGACUGUUCCUUGAUUACUGCUAGACAACUGUCUAGAAGUUCCAAGGUCAGAUGCAAGGUACUCCACGUGUUUGCUUUAUCUGAUCUUCAGGAAUACCAACGGAUUGGUUCCUGGAGAUUUCUAACUUAGAUAACUUCUAACUUGGUAGGAGUAUGAGAGUCAGAGGCAGAAUCCAUUGUGUUUGCAUUAGAGUCUCAUUUUACAACUUCAGAGGCACAUAUUAUUCAGGGCAAUUUUGAAUGUUCAGAUUCUUUAGGAUGAGGAGGAAUCUAUCUUCAGCUAAGGGUUUAGUAAAUAUGUCAGCCCAUUGAUGAUCAGUAUCAAUGAAUUUCAAUGUUACUACCCCUUUCUGAACAUAGUCUCUGAUAAAGUGAUGUUUUAUUUCUAUGUGCUUAGCUCUGGAGUGUAAAAUGGGAUUCUUGCUUAAACAAAUGGCAGCAGUAUUAUCACAAAAGAUAGGAAUGUUACUCUCAAAGAUUUGCAGAUCCUUUAACUGAUUCUUCAUCCAGAGCAUCUGAGUAGUGCACAGUGAUGCUGAGAUGUAUUCCACUUCUGCAGUGGACAGGGCUAUGGUUGAUUGUCUUUUGCUGGCCCAGGAUAUCAGAUUGUUUCCCAAGAGCUGACAAUUUCCAGAUGUACUUUUUCAUUCCAUUCUGUCUCCUGCGUAAUCUGCAUCACAAAAACCAGAUAGUCUAUACUCUGAUGUUUUCUCAUACAUCAGGCCCAUGUUAGGAGUUCCUUUCAGAUAUUUGAGAAUUCUCUUAACUGCUGUUAAAUGAGUUUCUCUAGGAUCUGAUUGAAAUCUGGCACAGAGACAAACACUAAAUAGAAUAUCAGGGCGAGUAGCAGUCAGAUAGAGAAGGGAGCCUAUCAUACCACGAUAGAGCUUCUGACAAACCUUUUUACUGACUUCUUCUUUGUCAAGAAUGCAGGUUGGAUGCAUGGGUGUCUUUGCAGAAUUGCAUUAAGCCAUAUCAAAUUUCUUCAGAAUGUCUUUUAUGUAUUUGCUUUGAUGAACGUACGUGACUUCUGAAGUUUGAUUGAUUUGAAUCCCUAGAAAGAACUUUAGUUCUUGCAUUAAGCUCAUUUCAAAUUCUGGCUGCAUUAGCUCAGAGAAUUCUUGACAUACAGAGGCGUUAGCUGAACCAAAAAUGAUAUCAUCAACGUAUAUCUGGCAUAUCAUGAGAUCAUUAUUAAUGUUUUUACAGAAGAGUGUAGAGUCAACUUUUCCUCUAAUAAAAUCAUGUUCCAGAAGAAAAUUACUUAAUCGUUCAUACCAAGCUCUAGGAGCUUGUUUAAGUCCAUAUAAAGAUUUCNNNNNNNNNNNNNNNNNNNNNNNNNNNNNNNNNNNNNNNNNNNNNNNNNNNNNNNNNNNNNNNNNNNNNNNNNNNNNNNNNNNNNNNNNNNNNNNNNNNNNNNNNNNNNNNNNNNNNNNNNNNNNNNNNNNNNNNNNNNNNNNNNNNNNNNNNNNNNNNNNNNNNNNNNNNGGCUAUGGUUGAUUGUCUUUUGCUGGCCCAGGAUAUCAGAUUGUUUCCCAAGAGCUGACAAUUUCCAGAUGUACUUUUUCAUUCCAUUCUGUCUCCUGCGUAAUCUGCAUCACAAAAACCAGAUAGUCUAUACUCUGAUGUUUUCUCAUACAUCAGGCCCAUGUUAGGAGUUCCUUUCAGAUAUUUGAGAAUUCUCUUAACUGCUGUUAAAUGAGUUUCUCUAGGAUCUGAUUGAAAUCUGGCACAGAGACAAACACUAAAUAGAAUAUCAGGGCGAGUAGCAGUCAGAUAGAGAAGGGAGCCUAUCAUACCACGAUAGAGCUUCUGACAAACCUUUUUACUGACUUCUUCUUUGUCAAGAAUGCAGGUUGGAUGCAUGGGUGUCUUUGCAGAAUUGCAUUAAGCCAUAUCAAAUUUCUUCAGAAUGUCUUUUAUGUAUUUGCUUUGAUGAACGUACGUGACUUCUGAAGUUUGAUUGAUUUGAAUCCCUAGAAAGAACUUUAGUUCUUGCAUUAAGCUCAUUUCAAAUUCUGGCUGCAUUAGCUCAGAGAAUUCUUGACAUACAGAGGCGUUAGCUGAACCAAAAAUGAUAUCAUCAACGUAUAUCUGGCAUAUCAUGAGAUCAUUAUUAAUGUUUUUACAGAAGAGUGUAGAGUCAACUUUUCCUCUAAUAAAAUCAUGUUCCAGAAGAAAAUUACUUAAUCGUUCAUACCAAGCUCUAGGAGCUUGUUUAAGUCCAUAUAAAGAUUUCUUAAGUUUAAAAACGUGUUCUGGAUAAUUUGAGUUUUCAAAGCCUGGAGGUUGGUUGACAUACACUUCUUCUGAUAUAUAACCAUUAAGAAAUGCGCUCUUGACAUCCAUUUGAUACAAUUUGAUAGAAUGAUUUAUAGUGAAUGAUACAAGUAAGCGAAUAGAUUCUAACCUGGCGACUGGAGCAAAUGUUUCAUUGUAGUCAAUACCUUCUUGUUGACUGUAACCUUGAGCCACCAGUCGAGCUUUGUUUCUGACAACUUCUCCUUUCUCAUUCAGCUUGUUUCUAAACACCCAUCUGGUUCCGAUAACGUGAGUGCCUCUGGGCCUAGGAACAAGAUCCCAAACGUCGUUCUUAGUGAAUCGAUCUAGCUCUUCUUGCAUGGCUAGAACCCAGUCGCUAUCUUGAAGUGCCUCAUCACAGGAAGUAGGCUCGAUCAGAGAUACUAGUCCUAGAGGAGUUUCUUCAGGAGUCUUGAAGGUAGACCUAGUUCGGAUAGGUUCGUCCUUAUUUCCCAGAAUCAACUCUUCAGAUAUGUUGAGGCGACUUUUAGCUUUCUUCGGGAUUGCUGGGGUGUUAGUUCCUUCUGAGGUUUGAAUGGCAGUUACUUCUGGAGCUUUAAUCUUCUCGUCAGAUCCUGCAAGAGUGAUCUCCAAGUCUGCAAAUUUCUCAACUAGCUUUGACUUUUCAGGGUCAAGCUUAUCAUAAAAUCUGACAUGAAUUGAUUCUUCCAUAAUUUUGGUUUCUGUAUUGUAUACUCUGUAGCCUUUAGAGCGUUCUGAGUAUCCUAACAUAAUACCUUUUUGUGCUUUGGAAUCAAACUUGUUCAGAUGUUCUUUAGUAUUUAAGAUAAAACAAAUGCAUCCAAAAGGAUGAAAAUAUGAAAUGUUGGGUUUUCUUCCCUUACACAGUUCAUAGGGAGUCUUUUCCAGAAUAGGUCUAAUAGAGAUUCUAUUCUGAAUAUAACACGCUGUAUUUACAGCUUCUGCCCAAAAGUGCUUUGCUACAUUUGUUUCAUUGAUCAUGGUUCUGGCCAUCUCUUGGAGUGUCCUAUUCUUCCUCUUUACAACUCCAUUUUGUUGUGGAGUUCUAGGGCAGGAGAAAUCAUGGGAUAUUCCAUUAGAGUCAAAUAAUUCCUCAAAUUUUUUUUUUCAAAUUCCCCACCAUGAUCACUUCUGACUCUGACAAUUUUAGAGUCAAAUUCUUUUUGCACUUUGGAAUAGAAGCUAGUGAAUACAGAGUGAGACUCACUCUUGUGCUUUAGGAAUUUUACCCAUGUCCAGCGAUUGAAAUCAUCAACAAUGACUAGUUCAUACUUCUUUCCAUUGACUGAUGCUGUUUUCACAGGACCAAAUAAAUCAAUGUGAAGAAGUUCCAGAGGCUUAGAGGUAGAAACAAUAUUUUUCUUUUUGAAAUAUGUUUUUGUAAAUUUUCCUUUCUGACAUGCUUCACACAUAGCAUCUGAAGAAAACUUCAGCUUAGGUAGGCCUCUGACUAACUCGAGUUUAUUUAGCUGAGAUAAUUUUCUCAUGCUAAUGUGGCCCAAGCGUCUAUGCCAUACCCAUUGCUCUUCGUGAACAGACAUCAGACAUUUCACAUUUUGUUCUUUUAAAUCAGAAAGAUUUAUUUUAUAAAUAUUGUUUUUCCUCUUGCCUGUGAAUAGGACAGAACCAUUGUUUUGAUUUAUGGCUUUACAUGUUUUUUGAUUAAAGAUUACAUCAUAACCGUUAUCACUUAAUUGACUUAUUGAUAACAGGUUAUGCAUUAAUCCUUCUACAUAUAGGACAUCAGAUAUAGAGGGAAGAGUACCAUUACCAAUAGUUCUGGAGCCUCUGAUCCUUCCUUUCUGAUCUCCUCCGAAGCCUACGAAUCCAGCAUCUUUAAGUUCCAGGCUUUGGAACAUAGACUUUCUUCCUGUCAUGUGUCGCGAGCAUCCAGAGUCCAAGUACCAUGACUGGUGUUUUAACUCUGCUGCAUAAGAUAUUUGCAACACAAACAAUCUUAUCCUUUGGUACCCAGAUUCUUUUGGGUCCUUUGUGAUUAGUUUUCCCAGAGCUUCUUAACACUUUGGGUUUUCUAGCAUUAUUAAAUUUUUGCUCUUGUGUGUGUGUGUGUAGUGAUAUGAAAAUGGAUAUUUAGGUUGGUCAUUAGUAGAAGUUUUGUCUUCACUAGGAUCAUACCAAAUUCCUCUUCUAUUGUUCUGACUGACUCCAUAAAUCAUGGAUGCCAUUAUACUCCUCCCUAUCCCAUUUUUUAGAAACUUUUGAAAAGCUUUUUCAUUUUUUAUAAAUUAUUGUGUUUGAAGUUUGUGGAGCUUGAGAUAACGCUUCUUCAAGUUUUGAGCAAUUUUUCUUUGUUGCAUCUCUUUCUAAUGUCAAAGAUCUGUUUUCAUCUUUUACUUCUAAGAUUGUUAUCUCAAGUUUUCCACAUUCUUCUAAUGUUUCUUCAAGAACGCCUUUUACAACUUUAAAUUUUUGUUUGAGUUUCUGAUAUGAGCUGAGAGUUUCAGACAGACAUGAUUCUAGGUCAGAUCGAGAGAGUUCAGAAAAUACCUCUUCUGAUUCAGAUUCUUCAUCUGAAGUAUGAGCUGAGAGUUUCAGACAGACAUGAUUCUAGGUCAGAUCGAGAGAGUUCAGAAAAUACCUCUUCUGAUUCAGAUUCUUCAUCUGAAGUGUUCUUGGAUGUGGUAGCCAUGAGUGCCACAUUAGCUUGUUCAUCAGAGUCUGAUUCUGAUGAGUCAGAUUCGUUGUCAUCCCAGGUAGCCAUCAGUCUCUUUUUGGUUCUGAGGGAAUUUUUCUUGAAGUUCUCUUUUCUGGAACUGUCUUUCUUUAACUUGGGACAUUCGUUCCUGUAGUGACCUGUUUCUUUACAUUCAUAGCAAGUAACAUCUUUAUUAGUUUUACCUUUUGAGGUUGAGUCUGAUCGGUCCCCUCUGGGUCUUGGUCUCCUGAAGUUAUUAUUCCUCUUUCUCUAGAGUUGUUUUACUCUUCUGGUCAGGAGGGAUAAUUCUUCCUCAUCGUCAGAGUCUUCCAGUUCAGAGUCAUCAGCAUCUUCUGUUUCGGCCUGGAAGGCUUUGUUUCUGUCAGUCUUGCGCCUUUCAGAUCUGGACUUUAAUGCUACAAACUUGAUCUUCUUUUGAGGCUCAUCUUCCUCUAGUUCUAUCUCAUGACUUCUGAGUGAGCUGACAAGCUCUUCAAGGUUGAUGUUGUUCAGAUCCUUUGAGAGUUUUAAGGCUGUGACCAUGGGUCUCCACUUCUUUGGCAAGCUUCUGACUAUCUUUUUGACAUGGUCUGCAGUUGUGUAUCCUUUGUCUAGUACUUUGAGACCUGCAAUAAGAGUUUGGAAUCUAGAGAACAUUACCUCUACAGCUUCAUCAUCCUCCAUUUUGAAGGCUUCAUAUUUCUGGAUUAGAGCCAGAGCCUUUGUUUCUUUGACCUGAGAGUUUCCUUCAUGAGUCAUCCUCAGGGAGUCGAGUAUAUCUUUAGUUGUUUCCCUGUUGGUGAUUUUUUCAUACUCAUUGUAAGAUAUGGCAUUGAGAAGUAUCGUUCUGGCUUUGUGAUGAUUCUUGAAUUCGUGAUUCUGAUCAUCUGUCAUUUUACUUCUGGAAACGACAACUCCAGCAUCUGUUACAGGAGGUUUGUAUCCAUCUGUGACAAUGUCCUAGAGAUCAGCGUCAUAGCCUAGAAAGAAACUUUCAAUUCUAUCUUUCCAGUAAUCGAAUUUCUCUCCAUCAAAGACUGGAGGCUUAGCAUUGUAAUUGUCUCUUUCAUUGGUGUUGGCCAUAGUUUUUCUCGUUCUGGAUCUCUCUACACUGUUAAGUGUUCGAUUAGAAAAUCAAUAACAGAGCCGAAGCUCUGAUACCAAUUGAAGGUGAGAAAAACAAGAAAGGGGGGUUUGAAUUGUUUUGGAAAAUAAACGCUUUUUAAAAGAAGAACACACAUAAUUUUAUACUGGUUCGCUUAUAACACACAGCUACUCCAGUCCACCCGGCCAAGGUGAUUUCGCCUUCAAAAAGGACUUAAUCCACUAAUCUUGAAAUAUUAAUACAACCAAACGUCUAAGAGAGUGAUCUCUUAGUCCUUUCAAGUAUACAGACUACGCAGAGUCACUUGAGGAACAAAAGUAAUUUAGCAAAAAUAGAUUUGUAAUCGAGAGUGCUUCUAAGAGUAAGCAAAUAUUACAGCAAAAAGAGCAAGCAAGUGUUUUCACGUAUGAGCAACAACUCGUGAAAAACUAAGAGAGAAUGUAAAGAAUUUUAUGUGCGUUGUUGUGGGUCUCUCACUGAAGUAUGUUGUCCUUUAUAUAGUGGUGAAAGAACCAUUGGAGUGAUGACAGAAUAUUGGUCUUUGAUGAGCAUUCAAUGUCAUUACUUCUGUGUUUCUUGCCAUAACCAAUUUGUCUCCCUAAAUAACUUCUUUUCAAAAAUACUUUCUUUCCAUUUGAAGAAGUUCUUUCCGUUACUCUUUCUGGAUUUGGAGAAUCUUCAUCAGAGUCUUCGUUAUCUCGGAGUUUGUGUCAAUCGGAGAUUGCGUUGAGGUUACGUCAGAGCCUCUAAGAGUACUGGUCUUUUAGAUCAUCAGAGUUGAGUCCAGUGGAAGUUUAGAGCUUCUGGUAUUCUGCUGUCCUGUUUUGCUCAGAGUCAGAACUUCUAGAGCGCACUUCUUCUUCAGAUGCUUCCGAUCUUCUAGUACUUUGUAUCUGAUCAGAGUUUGUAUCUUAUAAAGCGAUCAGAUUUCUUUGUUUCUGUUCAGAGUCCUGCACACUUAGAAAAAUUUCGUUAGGGUGCCAUUUUUGGUUUCAUCCUUUGUUAUCAUCAAAAUCCUGGAAUUCUAUUGUAGAACUAAUUUUGUUCUUACAACUUUGUGGUGGUAGGCAGAAAUUGAGUGGAGAAUAUCCUCCUAGGAGAGUACAUGCCUCUCUAAGUGCCUCUAUUUGCUUUCUAUUUUCUCUGCAGCUUUCUGCAACUUUUCUGUAUUUGCUUUGUAUAACUAGAUCCCAUAUGAACUCUAGUUUUCAUCAAUAAAAAUCAGAAGUUUCCUACUCUAUUUUUUGUACUUACUAUUUCCUGUACUUAAGAUACUAAAUUGAACCUAUCAGUGUUUAGGAAAAUGAACUUGCUAAGAUGCCUUAGUGAAAUUGUUAUGACUUAGUGCCCUAUUAUGAAGACUGACUUGAAAAAGCUAAUGAUUAGGAAUUUGAUACUCAUUGAGUUGUUGAAUGCAAUGUUUAGUUAGUUUGAGCUAUCAUGAAUUUGAAAUUGAAUUGAAAUGCCAUGUUGUUAUUGAUGUGCUAAAUUAUGAUACUUGUUAUAUUAUGAUGCAUGCUGACAAUGAUGUUGAACACUAGUUGUAGUUAGUUAAUUAAGGAUUAGUUAAUGGACUAUUAAUGAUAAUUAUUGACUGAUAACAGUAGGUUGGAUUAGUAAUGUUAAUGGGAUUGGUUAUUCUACUAUAUGAUUGAUGUUGGUUUAAUUGAUAUGCUAGGCUAGAAUAAAUGUAUCUUGAAACCAAACUGGCUAUUAUUUGAACUGCUAUGCUGUUGUUUAGUGUGACUUUCCUGAACUGUCAUAGACUGUAUUUGUAAUAUUGGUGUUCAAUUGAAUGCUUGAAUUGUGAGCCUUGCAUGAUUAUGUCAUGGUGGUUUAUUUUGACUCAUGAAAAGUGAUAGUGUGGAUUGUUAUGGGGUGUAUGGAUGAACCUUGUUAUGUGAAUCAUAUGUAUUGGCUUAGAUUUGUGCGUGUGCAGGCUGAUGGGCAUAAGAUGGUUUGAUCAAGGCUCAUCUUGGCAUGUCAAAGCUUAGCAUUAUGGAUGCAUCAAGAACAUGAAGAAGUCUUGAAGAACUUGGAGGAAUUGAGGAAGAUUGAAGGCAUAAAUGGAUGAUCAAUGAUGAUGAGGACCAAAGUAGGUUUAGAUAGCUAAUUUGACUUUUGGUCAACUGUUUGACCAAAAGUCAACAGUUAAACAAAAGUUAACCCUAGGUAGAAAAAUGGAUUUCUUUGAAUGAUUUGUAUUUUGGCCUCUCUUGUGAUGAAACUUUGAAAGCUUGUAAUGAAAUUUGGGCCUUGAAUGAUGUAACUUAUUCUUCAAGAAAUAUUUUCCCUCCAAAUUACAUUUGAAAAGUUUGAAUUUAAAUUGCACUUGAAUGACCAUGAAAUGAAUUGAUCUUGUCUUUUUCAACUCAAUUUUUUUCCUCCAAAUCCAAACUUUGAACAUUUGAAAAUGAAUGAAUCUUUAUUGAAAAUGGAACUUAAAAUUGAAUACCUUGAUCACCUAAGUGAAGUGUCAUGCCAUGAUCCAAAAGAAACCAGCCAGGGGACUAAUGUAUUGAAAAAUGCCCAUAAAGAGAUUAAUCAGUCAAAAUCAAUCUUUCAUGGUUGACCAAGUAAACCUGCAACCCAUAAUCAAAUUCAAUGCCAUGAUGCAAGCCUUAUGAUCCACAAGUGCCAAGAAUCAAGAAUUAGGGUUUCAUAACUUUGAAUCCAAGAGAAAUAGUCAUCACUAGUCAAUGUAUCAUCAUGAUGCCCUAGAUUUGAUCCUCAGGGAAAUCCUAGCUCCAUGUUGAUCAUAAACACCAAAAGGCCUUUGACUCAAUGAUGUUUACUUCAAAAAUGAAAUGGUAAAAUGAAUGUCUUAUGAUGCCGAUGAAUAUGUAGAUGAACCAUAGACCAAAAGUCAAAUAAAAGUGAAAAUGGGAGGACAAAUUUUGGGGUAUGACAGAACUAAAGAGAGAGGGUUAUUCGUUUUACCCUUGAAGUUUUUUUGUGGUACUUGUACCUUGGGAACCAGCAGUCGAAACCCUUGGAUUAGUGAGAACACCUGCAAAGUAGUAGGAAAUGAUGUGUCAGUCUAAAAAGAUCCAAAGUAAAACAGCAAAAAUCAUUUCAGAUCAAGUCGACAAAAGUUACCUCUUUCUCUCAAGAAGGAAAAAGCGUUAACCAGGAAAAUGAACCAUGAGGGUGUGGUCUGGCACAUUCUUCCAAUGGAUGGCCCACCACUCCUCAAAUUCUUAAGUGCAAUGAUAUGAGAGUGUAUAGUCGAAAACAUGAAGGAAAACUUAUUUCUUUUACAAAAGUCGUGGCAGCUUUUAAGCCACCUCUCAGCAGCAUUGUCGGUGGAGAAGAAGAAGACUUCGCCUUUGGGAAUGAAGCACUUGGGAAGCAGUUGGCUCAGUCCAAACUGCCUACCACGAGGGCGGGGUGACGGACCAACAGUCAUACCUCACGUACCCUGACGAGCAUCAGCUCGAUGAAGGUUUGACUGUCACGCGCCCAUAACCUUGGCGGGUGUCAGCCAGAGCUGACGGGCAGUUCCCUAGACCGUUUUCAAGGUGAUAGUCGUCAUGCCCACGACGUUCAGACCGUCACCCCACCCAAAAAUAGGAAGGUGAAUAGUCGGAGGACCUUCCUCGAGUGUAGUAUAGUAAAAAUCCUGGCGAUACAGGAUUUGGCAUGAACGGGAAAGCGUUUGUAUUUUCUUUUACAAUAUGUGUUGUGUGGUAUAAAAAUGAUUAAGGUGAGCAACCUUAGUAUAAUACUAGGUAAGUCCUAUAUAACUGAGAAGACUCCUAAGAUAUGAAGACUAUAUAGCCGAGAAGACUCCUAAGAUAUGAAGACUUUACUGAGAUAGUUUAUUCUCACUCCUGUUGUUGUCAUAAUCCUUACAAGUGAGUCGGCUAAAGACAAAGAUGAAGAAGAUGGUUUGAUGAAGAGUUUUUUUUAAAGAUUGUUUUAGAUGUUAUGAUCCUUAUGUAAUAUUUUUAGAGAAAAGAUAUUCCGACACCAAACACAUACACCGUAUUUUCGAGUUAACUAACUUUGGUGAUUGCUCAAAAUUACUUUUGAGACCUGAACAUUUAUUAACCAACUUUUUACUUUUCAUUAUCACCUUUGAUAUACUAGUAAAAAAUAUUUUUAAUAUCUAGACAUAUAUUAUCAAAUUUCAUCACUUUAUUAGUCAACUUUAUUUCAACAAUUUUAAACACGCAUUGUUGAUAAAAAUAUUAUUCACGGUAUAAAUACACUGAACAGUGCAUACGGAUAUAUAUAUAUAUAUAUUAUGUGAUUCUAGACACACAAUAAAUACAAUAAAUAUGUUAAAAUAUAAAAAAUCAAAGGUGGAUUUAAUUCAAUUUUAAAAUAAAAGUUAGAUUUUAAAUUUAUAUCUUAUUGCAAAUAAAACCUCUCCCUGAAACAAGUGAACUCAAAAACUCAGUAAGGCGUUAUGUAGCAACAGAAGUUACAAAACUGAAAGUGUCAAGCCAUUUUUUCAAGCACAACAGACACGAACAAAAACACAGUAGAGUCAAAUGGCAACGAUUCCAUACUAAAUUAAGGCAGUGUCUAUGUUUUUUAUGUAAGCUCAACACACUCCACGUUUAGAGCUGCUGAAUAUACUUGACUGCCACGAUUACUUGGAUUUUUUUCUACAGAUUUCAUGUUAACAACUGCCAUUUUUUCUAUUAUCAUUAAGACGAAAUUUCAUCUUCUAGAAAUCAUGAAGACAGAACUAACUGUUGACAUAACAGUACAUGAUUAUAAAAGAUAAGUAGUCCUGUCGGUGGAAUGGAAAUUAAAAAUGUAACAUCUUCAACAAGGAUGGAUGCAUUUACAGAGGUAGUUCACCACUAUCAGCAAUCACAACCUUGCUCUUAGGAGUUCCACUUAAAAAUGUAACAUCUUCAACAAGGAUGGAUGCAUUUACAGAGGUAGUUCACCACUAUCAGCAAUCACAACCUUGCUCUUAGGAGUUCCACUUUGAUUUCCUUCAGCUUCAACCUUGUAAACGACAUCCAUUCCUGAAAGCACCUUUCCAAAAACAACAUGUCUUCCAUCCAACCUAUCAAAUCAAAUAGAUACAUACAUUAUUAGCAAAAACACAAAAUAAAUCACAAGUGACUAUAUCUUAAGUCGAUCUAACCAAUCUGAAUAAACGGUUAGAGGAAAUACAGGUCUACAGAGAUUGAUGUAUGUCAUGUCGUGAUUAUGGAAGAAACAAAGUUAUCAGGCACUACAAUUAAUAUAGAGAACAGGGAUAUAAUUACCAGCUAGUUGUUACAGUUGUAAUGAAAAAUUGUGAACCAUUGGUAUCAGGACCAGCAUUUGCCAUUGAUAAAAAUCCUGUUCGUACAGAAAAUGUAAAACAAAAAUCAGCCCCGUCACAUAUUCAUUUGAAUUUAUUUAUAUGAUUAGUAAACAUCUAAAACAACAAAAGAAAAAUAGAAUAAAAUUACCUGGUCCGGUAUGCUUUAGCUUGAAGUUCUCAUCAGCAAACUUCUCUCCGUAAAUUGAUUCUCCGCCCAUACCAUUGCCGUGUGUAAAAUCACCUCCUUGGAUCAUAAAGC